rnacentral:lncRNA from 1 species
CUUCAUUUGCUCUACGUCAGAUGAGAUAACGAAAUGGUCAGCCCCAAGCAGGCUCAGUGCUUCCUCCUUUUUAGAAAUGCUUGUACUGAACACUGUGACUUUCAGGUCCAAAAGCCUUCCCAAACUUAACUGCCAUAUGACCGAGCCCGCCAAGUCCAAUUACACCUAGAGACUUACCAGGUUGGUUCAUCUUGUGACGUAUCAUUGGAGUGUACACCGUGAUUCCAGCACAGAGCAAUGGCGCUGCUAGAUCCAUCGGGUAGUUUUCUGGAAUCCUGAAGCAAUACCUGUCAAUGAAGCACCACCAUUAAGUUUCCAAAUAACACCAAGACAGGAAGUGAUUUCCCAAUAGAAUCAGCAUCCUGUCUUUUUUGUCUAAAAGGAAUCAAAUCACAGAGCCAGAAAUCCUAUCUUCCGCAUGCUAAGGAAUUUUACUUGCUUAGACCACAAUUCAGCAUCAUGUUGUUUCCGUGAUCCUUGUUCUGACCACAAAUUGCUCAAGACAAACAUUUCUUGCUGUAGCAACGAAAAUAAAGCAAUUGCAGCACACCGGAGGCCACACUCGAUUAAAAUUAAGAAAAGUCACUUGCUCUAAGAAAGGAAACUGGUGGCAUAUCACAUAUGCUUGAUUGAACACGUAAUUUCUGUAUUUCCUUCAAUCAAUUUCUCCAAGGGAGUCAAGAUUCCUGUGGCUCUAUCAGAUACAAGAAUUACUGAAAGCACAUACAUUUAGCUACCCAUUUGAUCUGAUACUUAUGAUCUAACUUUAACAAUCUAAGGACAGCUUAUUCCAUUCUUGACGAUGCUUACUGAAAAGAAAGAAUUUCUUUUCGCAUUUAAUAAAGCCAAUUCUCCAUUGAAUGGUUUCAAUGGUAAUUGGAUACAGAGGACUUAAAGACCCUCCAAAGCAGUUAUAGAAAGUAUCUUUAUCCCUUUCCACAUGAUGCAUUAUGCCACUUCUGGUCACAAUCAGAAUACGAAGAAAAUUAGCAGAGAAGAAGACAUGACAUGAAAUCUUUUUUUGGCCACCAUGAUUUGAAAUUCUUUCACAGUGCAAAAUGCUGCCUAAUAACAUUGUGUCAAUAAGCAAUUACCUUUCAUGGACGACAAUGUGACUAGAAUAUCCUCCCUUUGUCACUGUACCGUCCGUAUCGAUUCCGUCAAAAGUCAAAACCAUCUUUUCACAGUGGACUUCUAGCCCGUCAUUGCAAUACUCGCACUCUCUGCAUGAAUUGACAUAAGUUCCCACACCCACAUGAUCGCCAACUUUGAAGCGUUGGACACUGGAGCCAACCUGUUUCACAAUUCCAACUAUCUCGUGCCAAUCAAUCCAAAAAAUCAUUCGCAAAUUUUGUUCAGAGAAUUAUUAGGAUGGUGCUAAGAAAAAAGAUUAACAUUCGAAUCACGCUGCAUCCUACCCUGGCACCAGAGGAUACUUGGAGCGUCCCGACAUAUUCCUAGUCCAACCCACAUCUGCAUAGCACACUCCACAGUGCGUGAUCCUAAUCGAGACGUCAUCGCUUCCCACGGUCCUAAAGAGAGAAUUCCCAAACAGGUGAGCAUCUAAUCAAGCAACUAAUCAGACUCAGUUACCUUUUGUUCUCAUUUUCCAGAUCAAUAAACUAAGCGUGGCUUACAAUAAUCAUACAUUCAACCCAAAGCAAAAUUUAAGAAAAGAGAAAUGAAAAGGAACCAAAUCCAAGACUAUAGCAUUUGUCUGAAUAGUACAUACAACCUCAAAUGCUCACAAAGGCAGCACCUGAAUCCUAAUGUCUGCCAUGAAGUUCUAAGCAACUCAUUCUGGGACAUGACAUCUCAUGCGUACGAACAAUUCUCUACCCAGAAAUUAGUGCAUACACAACAAAAUUUAUAAAAGCAAAACGAAAUGGUUUGGUUAAUGUGGAAAUUUAAAUAUAUGACAAGCAUCAAAAACUGUUUUGCAUUACAGGUGAGAGGAUAAGACCUGAGAACACUGUAUUGAGAUUAUUCAGACAAAUACUUCAAUAGAAAUUGAAAGUAUAAGGAGCAGAUGAAUUAAAUAAAGAACAAUGGUAACAGUAAUACCUGCGGCUGAAUUUGUAGGGGGAGAGACGUCCAGAAGGAUCUCUGGCAGCCCAACCAAGACAAUCUUCCUUCGCACCCUCUGAACUCAUCGUUCCUCAACGACCUCAACUGAAAUCGACCCACAAAAAAAUUGCUGCGUUAAUCUCUCAAUAAGCUGAAUUAUGGAAGAAGAAGAAGAAUUAUUUUCGUGAAAGAGAAAUGAAGAAGAGAAUUUCAAACCGAAAAACAGAAGUUCAAAUGGUCAAAAGGCCAAAUGUCACGAAGACUUGGCAAUUCCGUUUCCGUGCAGACAGGAUUUUGCUGUCUGACUUUUGAGCAAAGAGCGAGAUUGAUUAGCAGAGAACGAGGUUGAGCGCUCAAAAACCGUCACCUCUUUAUAGAUGCCAUAGCGUCGCCUGUUCUUGAUUUUUUUUUUCGUUUUAUCUUGUGGAAAAGAAUUAGUGCCAAACGUAAGCCAUUACCUUUCCCAGUAACGUCUUCUGGAGUACGGUUCUUGGUAUUUGCGGAAAUGUGUGUUUGAUGUGUGUGUAAGUGUGUUUUGUGUGUGAACUAUCAAGAGAGCAAAAGAACUAAAAAACGAUGUGAGGAAGAAAUAGUUGGACAAAAUAAUAAUGAGAAUGUGUAAAAGACAAUAAGGCUGAGGCGGUGAAGGAGAGAAACUUGAAUGAAAGUCAACAAUAGUGGCUGAAGAUGAAACUAGUAUGUGGACAGAAAGAGUAUUUGGAGAAGAAAAUGAGUUGUCUUGUAGCUGUACUGCGGCAGUGAAAAAGUGAAAAAUGUCAUGUCGGUUGUAAUUGCCUAUAUAGGCUUAUCAUAUGCUGUGUGAGGUGAACCCUUCACCUUGUGUGGGGUGACCCCUCCACUGUGAGAGGUCUUAGACCUCCACCAUGACCAUAUGAAGAGUGACUAUCAACACCUCCAUUAAAUUAUUUUGUCUUCUUCAAUAAGUUCUUGACAGCUGGAGUUUGAUGAAGAAACUUUGAUUCAUGCUUCUAUUUCUCAUGCACGUAGACUUCUUUAGCCUGUUCUAGGAUUUCUUCUUCAACUUGGCUUUUUCUUACUUGCAUUCCCAUGUGAAUCUUUUAGGUUCAGCUAGCAACCAUCAUUCUCAACAAGUCUAAACAAUCUUCAACAUGGAUGCUGCUACCAACGUUUAUUAAUUUUUAGACAGUUUUAGAGAAAAUGAAUUAUAAUUUCCAACAUAUAGUAUUUUGGAGAAAAAAGUAUUUCAGCAUAACUGUGCAAGGAUUUGUAGAUCACUACAACAUCACCGGAGGCAAAUAAUUAUCCGUCAUUGACAUGAACGAUAUAGAAAAAAUUCUUUUAAUCAUUUACCUUAGUUUAGCAAGAUCUGCUUAAACGACAGCCUUGAGUAUCUUCAAUUCCUUUUCUCUUGCCUUCAAAAAGAUAUUGAAAUGCGACACGGAAUAUCAAGACAGAUUGUCAUUGACAAAGCCGUAAAAGCCUACUCGAUCUGGCAAAACUGGGGACUGUUCUUUCCAACGAUCUUGACCACCUCGGCAGCUGCUGUGCAAAUGGAUAGGAAUGCAUGCAGAGGGACAAGCUGAUUGUUACCUGCUUUUAGUCGUUCAUUUGAAACUGUAAGAUUCAUGUGCCAUAAGAUAGCUAGACAAGCGAGCAAAAAAUGAUGCGCCUUGCACCAAAGGUGGCAAGAGCAAUUAAAUUAAAUUCAAACCAAAAAAAGCUUGAUGCAUAAAAUGAAAAGUCAUCCUUUGAGCGAAUAAAUGACAAAGUAAGUGCAAUGAGAGUCACUAAUGUUCACGCUAGACUUAUGCCAUGACCAUUCCUUAGUCGAGAGAACGUAAGCAGCGACAUCUUCUAGAUAGUGGUUACUAGCAAUUUUAUUUUUUAUCCCCAGCCUAAUCAUAUUAUCCGAGUUAUAAGCUCAGAAAGAAGUCAAUGAGCAAUCUACCGCUAGGACCUAUGAAUGGUCAUACGAUAUUGGUUACACAUCUUGUUAGAAUAUAAUAUGCGGAAAUAAUAGGAUCUUGCAAUUUACGUCAACGCGCAAAAUUCCAGAUAAAUAAACGAGAAAUAAUAAGAAUCAUAAAUUUACGUGAUUCAGUCCGAGUAUCGAUAUUUACAUUCACAGGGAGAGCCAGCAACAAAUAGUCCAUUAUAAUAGGAAAAUCAGAAUUUACAAUCGCACACACGCUCGAUUACUUCCCACACCAAGAUUUAAGCUCAUACUCAAAGAGUUUAUAAAUAAAUAAUUCACUUGGAAAUUAUCUCGCGUUCAAGCUUUAAACUACAAAACAUUCUACGUACGCCAAAAACAAGAACUCCGGCAUUUGUCUUUUGGUUCGCGUACAUACAGAUUCGUGUUCUUCUUUGCUUGAUCGUUCGUGUGGCGCUGUUCUAGACGCUCCUUUUGUGUGGCUCUUUCUUCUUCGUAGGGCUUCAGCGACUCUUUCUAAAAGAAAAAAAAAAAAAACGUGUUCUAAUUUAUAUGUGAGCCUAGAGUCUAACAACUUUGACUUUGAGCCCCACCACGUGCUUCUUUGUUCAAUGGGAAGUGGGACGCGGUGAAGAGACCCUACCUUUUUCUUCCUCUUUCCUUUAUUUUAUAUAUAUUGUGUGCCCAAAGUUAAGACUUUGACUUUGGGCCCCACGUAGAGAGCCUUGUUCGGCUCCCGUAGAUAGAUAAAGAAGAAUCUUUGCUCCUUUUUUGUUAUUCUAUUUUAUUUUCUCUUUUAUAAACUUUCAUGGAGUCCGACGAAGCUUUUUUUUGUUGAUCGAAAAUAUCCAAGACCCAAAAAGAAUUUCGAAUUUCUUUUCUUGUGCAUAAUCUUGAAUAUUAUAUUCAUCAGAAAAUAUCUUCACGAUCAAAUAAUAAAAAAUUUAUCCAAGCAAAUUGCGUUUUGCAAAUAUUUAAAAUUGAGACAUAAUUUAACACAUCUGAUAUGAUGUACUACCCAAUUACUGUCCUCUGACAAUUUAUAUUUGAUUAAUUUAUUUCAAGAAUAUUCAUUUGUUAAACUUGUUGGCUUACAAAUCACUGUCACUAUCACGUGAUAUAUCCUAUAUUGAGAAUACUUGGGAGCAUCUAUGCUUGUUUUAUGUAUGUUAUGCUUGUGAUGCAUCUUGUUUUGAGUGGACUGUAGAACUAUUUAAGUUCAUGCCAAUUUGACUAAUUUUUUAUCUGGAUAAGUGCAUUGGAAUAUUUAAAAACUUAUCAUAAAAAUACAAUUAAGCCAUGAAACUUUGAAAUCAAGUUCUAGAACUUGUCACGUUGGUCUAAUCUAAAUCCUUCCAUUGCAUUUUUGAAAAUUUCAGUACUUAACUACAAUUUUCUAACAAGUUUUAGUAUUUCCAAUAUACAUAUUUGUCUUUCAACCUCACUAAUGUUUUUAAGCAAUAAUGAGCUUGACAUAUCUCUGAUUUCGGAAUUUCAAUGGCUAUAGGAGACAAAAGGACGUCCUCUAAUGAAUCAACAAUCUUAUGCCAUGACAAAGCUGGAAGAGAGAUGAGUGUCUUCCAUAGUUAUAAAAAAUGUUCAUGCGAUAAUCUGUAGGAAUUCGUCUUCCUGACGUGCAUGAAUAUUUCCGGCCAUGAAACAUUUCACAGUGAAGACAUUCUGUCACUUAAACUGGCAAAAGGAUAUUGAGCUUGUUCUUUUGGCGAGGGUAUUGCUAUUAAAUAUGCCAAUUAAUUCCACGACUAUUAGCAUUUGUUUAAAUAGAGCAUACAACCUAAAAUGCUCACAAUGGCAGCUGGUACUGGAUCCUCAUGUCUGCCCAUGAAAUUCUGAGUGCCUCAGACAUGGCAUAUCAUGCACACAAACAAUUCUCAACCCAGAAAUUAGUGCGUACACAACAAAAGUUAAAAAAAGAAAAAAAGAAAUGGUUUGGUUAAUGUGGAAAUUUAACAUAAUGACAAGCAUAAAAAAACUGUUCAGCAGUACAGUAGAGAGGUCAAGACCUGAGAACACUGUAUUGAGACUUAUUCAGAUGAACACUUCAGAUAGUCACUAAAAAGCUAAGGAGCAAAUUGAAUAGAGAAGGGAAAAGUGCCAAAAAAGUCCUAAAACUUUUGUCAUUGUGCCGAUUUAGUCCUAAACAUUUUUAAGUUGUGCAAAUUCAGUCCUUUCCGGCCAAUUUUGCCCGGAUUUUGCUGACUGGACGCCAGUCAGCUGACGUGGACAAUUUUUAAUAAUAUUUUAAUAUUUUAAUAUUUUAUUUUUUAUUUUUUUAUUUUUUUUAUUCUGCUCUUCUUCCUCCAGCCGGUCGCCGGACCUCGGCGACCAGCCACCUCGCCAGUGGCCGCGGGGGCGGCCUCGCGUGGGGCGGCGAGGCUCACCCUCGCCGGAUCUGGCAAGGGUCGAGCCUCGCCCAUGGCCGGCGAGGCCGCCCUCGAGGCCUGGGCUGCGAGGCUCGCCCUCGUCGGAUCUGGCGAGGGCGAGCCCCGCUAGCUUGCCGGAUCUGGAUUUGGCGAGUGAGGGGGUUUGAGCAGGGGGAGAGAGUCAGAGGGGGUAAACCGCUGGCCACCCACCUGAGCCGCGGCCGUCGGCCUACGGCCGCGCCUGGUUUCAAGCACCGAAGCUUCGGUAGGCCUCGGUCCUUUUUUGUGCCUUGCGUUGGUCGGACUAGGCCAGAGCUCGCGGUCUUCAAGGAUUCGGUUCGAGAUCUGAGGGCGUUUGAUCUGGGCGGGACUUGAGAGAGAGAGAGUCCUCUCCCGGCCAAGCCGAGGAAACCCUGGCCACGUGAGACCACCGCCACAAUGCUGCCGCCCAAUGCCGUCCACCGCUGCUCGCCGACCCGCCGCCAUAUCCAGCGAGGGCGAGCCUCGCCCGCCCCGCGCGAGGCCACCCCCACGGCCACUAGCGAGGUGGCUGGCGAGGUCGAGGUCGACCUCACCGGCCGUCACCUCUGGCCGGUCGCCGAGGUCCGACGACCGGCUGGAGGAAGAAAACCAGAAUAAAAAAAUAAAAAAAUAAAAUAAAAAAUUCAAAAAUAUUAAAAUAUUAUUAAAAGUUGUCCACAUCAGCCGGCCGGCGUCUAGUCAGCAAAAUCCGGCCAAAUUGGCCGGAAAUGACUGAAUUGGCACAACUUAAAAAGGUUUAGGACUAAAUUGGCACCAAAAAAAGGUUUAGGACUAAAUCGGCACAAUGACAAAAGGUUUAAGACUUUUUUGGCACUUUUCCCAAAUAAAGAACAAUGGUGAUGAUAAUACCUGCGGUUGAAUUUGUAGGGGGAGAGAAGUCCUAGAAACCGUCAUAAAUGCCAUAGCGAUGGAUGUUCAUGAUUAAUCUUUGAGCUUACUAUUGUGGAAAAGUAUUAGUGAUUCGCCAAAUGUAACCCAUGACCCUUCCUUAACCCAAGAACGCAUGCAGUGACAUCUUCUAGAGAGCGGCUCCUGGAAUUUUUUCCAUCCAUCCUCCCACUACCUAAUUGCAUUAUCAACCUAUUGACACAUAAACGAUGUCAAUAGGCAAUGUGCCGUUGCACCACAAGACCCACAAAUGGUCAUCUAUGUCGGUUACACCACCAAUAAUUUGUACCUGACCCUUCAUGGUCCUAUUAUUUGAUUAAUCUGUUUAAAGAACAUUCAUUUUCUUCAAACAUGCUUUCUCACGUGCCACUGUAAUAUGAUGUUUGUUGCGACCUACCUUCGGAGGGAAGGAAUAGGUUUAGGGGUAUUGGCUAAAGGACGGGCCUAAAGCCUAUAAUUAGACGCGAGCUCUCCUAAACCUAUAUCCCGCAUGACGUUAGGAUAUUCUUAAGAAAUUUUGCUCGCCACUAACCUAUUGGGGUCGGCUAGAAACCAAGUGAGGCAUGGGAGCGUGCCUCACUUUCUACGCAACCAGAGAAUCUGGGUUCGAGGACUUAAUUACACUAAUUAACUAAUUAGUACCCUUUCGAUACCUAAUCUUGUUCAUUUUAACAAAAUGAUUUUUGGCAGGCAGUUUGAAUUGAUUUUAUACUUAUCCACUGACAUAUGAUCAUGCAGAUGCGCAAUCAUUUAAAAUAAUAAUCAUAACUACCAAGAUCCUAAUUAUAGUAAAAUUAACUCAUGCAACUAAACAAUCGCAGACACAGUCGAAUAUGUAAGUUAAACAUGCAAUAUAAUCAAAAUACGAACAAAUAAAUACCGAAUUACACAAAGAAGGGCAAUACACAACAAUUCCUAAUCAAACCCUAUAUUUUUGGAUUUACGAAUUUUUUUAUAUAUAUAUUUUUUAAAUUUAAUAAUUUUGUUUUUUUAAAUAAAUUAAAUUUUCUUUUUAAAGAAAGAUUUUUUUUUAUGUUUUCUGGAUUUUUUAAUUUUCGGAAAUUUUUUGAUUUUUGAUUUUUUUUUUUGAAUUUUUAUAUUUUUAAUAUUUAAUAUUAUUAUAAUCAGGAAAACGGGUCCGACUGGGUAGAUCCGAUGCGGCCAUUGACCCGACCCAAAACCAGAUUCGACUCUAUCGGAUUGAAAGAGAAAAUAAGAUUUUUAAUUAAUUUUUUUAGUUUUUAAACACUUUUUCUGUUUUUUCCUUCUCCUCCUUUUUUGGCCUCCUCCAUGUCUUGUCUUUUCCCUGCAGUCUUCUCAUCCUCGCCGCCUUCACCGAAGAUCCGCCCCCCACAUCUUUUCCACAUUUCUAUUCUUUUUUUUCUUUUUUUUCUUUUCACCACCCUUUUAUUUCUUUUAUUUCUUGUUUUUCUUCUAAGCUUUUCUUUUAAGUUGUCUUCUCUGCAUGCUUUCUUCUCCGCUCGAAGCUUCCAUUAAACACCCGAAACCCCCUCUGCCAUUUCAUACUUUUCUUUUAUUAUUUAUUAUUUUGCCUUUUUAUAUUUCUUUUUCUUUAUUUUUCAUUUUUUUUCUCUCUUUUUGUCCUUUUCCCUAUUUCGGCUAUUCUACUGCAUCUUCUCCUUCCGAAAGCUAACGCCAAUUCUGCAACUUCCUCGCCGAAGCUCCUUCCCACCGAAUCUCAUCCGCACACUAACGACACGGCCCUGAACAAUCGGUGACCCUUCCAUCGCCCGUCCACCGGUAGUCGCUACCCCACGGAAAGAUGAACAGGCGCAAAAGAACAACAAGAAGACAAGGAAUGGAACACGGGUCCCUAAGAUAUUAAGGAACUACGUCAACAUCAAGAAAUGUUCAGAUUCAGCCAUAACAACAACAAAACCUAAACGAAAUCAUGCUCAAUGAUCCAUAAAGGAUUCCUUUUACGCAAGACCGGAGCAUACUCAUUCCAAAUGAUCCGAAAUUCACGACCUAAUCCGCGUUAACUUAGUUCAAGCGUUUUAUCAAACACGUGGUAAGCACUGACUCGGGAUGAGGUUAUUAACUCCUCUUUGGACCCGCUCGAGUCUAGACCCAGAGAAAUCAUCAAGAAACAUGCAAAAUCGACCACAUCAACUUACUCAAACUCAGCGUGCAUAUGGGCUGACAAAAGGAACAAGACAUGGCUUCCGGUUAGACCAAAACAAGGUGGAGCAGCAAGGGUUCAUGCGAACAAGCAUCUCAUCACGGAGUUCCCUACCCAACUCGAAGACGGCAGGAAGCGGGCCAACUCGCGACAAAUCGAGCUAUAGCUCGCCGCUUUGGUAUCUUCGAGCUGGGACCCUAAUCGAAAUGCAUCCAUUUGUCUCAUGCACUAUGGGGAUCCUCGGGCAAGAGAGGUUUGAACCGAGUAAAGAAACUCACCAGCGACGCCGAGAUUCGGGGGCGAAAGAUCGUAUGCUAGAGGAUAUUGGCCAGAGGUCGUCGAAGACGGUUCGAGCGUGGCCGACCUGCUACAAAACUUCUCCCUCGCUUUUGUGCUGGUGUUUUCUCCGUUGCUCCUUCUGCCAAGCCCCCCGCUCCCUCUGUUCUUCUCCUGUUUUCUUUUAAAACUGCCGUUGGUUCAUUUCCCUUUGCCUCCGUCCAAAAUGCCUUUUGCUAGUCCACGAAGCCAGCUCUCUUUCUUUUCCAUCUUCAGCUCUAAUUUUCCUCGGUCAGUCCAGCCUCCUUGCCUCUAUGUAUGCCUGCAGCCGGUCUUCUCCUUGGGACCGAGUUCGGUCUAUUUUCAGCUACAACGGCUGCUGGUUUUCUUGGGCUUCGUCAACUGCAGGCGCUGCCACGCUGCAGCCAAGCUUUCAUUGCUUCCAUUUUUCUGAAAUCGCACUUGCCGAUCCUCUGCAGAUCCUUCUUCGGCUUCCUCCUGUUCUGUCUUCUACAGGUCCUGCGCGAAGAUUGGAGGAGGGAGAAGGAUGGGGCGCGGGCUGGGCCGACGGGGGGAAAGGAGGCUGGGCCGCGGGGGGAAAAGAAAUAUAAAAAAAAAAAAAAAUUCUUGAUUUUUUUAUUGACUUUUCGAUUGAUUUUUUUUUUUUUUGUAAAAAUAGGUAUCAACAAUGUUUUUGAUACACAAAAUACUAUCUCUUCAAGAGCUUUGACUCCUAUAUACUUGGGGCAUUAAAUUUUUUUAGCAACAAUGAGCUUGGCAUAUCUCUGUUUUCGGGAUUUCAGUUGCUAAGGGAAACAAAAAGGACGACCUCUAAUGAAUCGACAGUAUUUUGCUAUAACAAACUUGGAAGAGAGAUGAGUGUCUUACGUAGUUACAAAAAAAUGAUCAUGCAAUAGUUGGUAGAAAUUUACUCUGCUGACAUGCAUGAACAUUCUGAAAAAAAAACGGAAAACGUGCAUGAAUAUUUCCGGCCAGAAAGCAUUCACGAGGAGCUGAGAGACACUAUUUCUUAAAGCAGCAAAAUGAUUACAAGUUUGUUCUUUUAGGGAGUGGAAUGAAUAAAUUGUACAAAAAAUCCUAAACUUAUUGUCCGAUCACUAAUUUAAUUCUGAACUUUUUAAUUUGAUCAAUGUUGUCUAAAACUUUUGACAAUUUUUUGUAGUCCACCUAGUUAAAUUUAGGUCAAAAAUCAGUGACAGAGCAAUUUAGUAAACACUAACCGUUUUAAGUGAUACAACUGAUAGCUUAUAUAGAUGACUUAAAUGAGGUAGCGUCAUUUCACAAUUUUUUUUUUAAUAUUCUUUCUUUUCUUCUCUUUUAGUAAUUUUUUUCCUAUUCUUUCGUUCUCUAGUGUUCUUUUUCUUCCCUCUACUGGUGGCCGAUGCCUCAGCAAUGACCAGGGACCAUCAUAGGCUACAAGUGAGGGCAUUGAGCAAGACUUACAAGCCUUCUCCUAGAUUUGUGCAAGGGCCCUAUAGGCCCUCACUGGCCAUAGGCAAUUGGGGACUUGCAAGCCCUUGCCUAGAUCUACCCUCGCAUGGGGUCAAUGUUUACCAUCACCAAGGCCUCAAUGUCUUGCUCAAGAAAGAAAAUGAACAGCAGAGAAGGAGAUGAUAGGAAAAGAAAGAAAAAAGAAAAAAAGAGGAAAGGAAAAAAGGGAAAAAAUCUGAAAUAAUAACAAAAAAUUGCAAAAUGACGUUUCAUUUAAGAUCAUCCAUGUCAAUUGCGAAUCAUGCAACGUGGCCUACCUUGUUGGAUGCAGUAGAUUUAGGAUAUUUUGAAUAUUUUUCUCUUGUUAAAUAUGCCUGAUUUAUUUGAUAUCCUAAAAUUUGUCAACUUUGUGAAAUCAAGUUCUAAAAUUUGUUGGCAUUUUUUUCAUAUUGGAUGAAGUUAAUGAAAUGACUUGAUUACAACUACUUGAUAAGUUUUAUAACUUGAUUGUAAUUUUUGAAAAUUGUAGGACUCAGUUGCAUCUCUGUAAUAAGUUUUAAAACUUGAUUACACUAUAUGUAAUAAAUUUUAAGAUUUUCAGUAUAUUUAUCUCUAAAAUAAAUAAAUAAAUAGGGCCUACCCCCUUUACAUGAACUCUUUAAUUUAAACGCACCAUGGAAUUUCCUGUCCUUUUACACUGUUUCAUUAACUAAGAAAUUUUUUUUUUUUUGGGGUUAAAACCAAGAUUUAAUUCUUUCUUUUUUUUUUCUUUUGGACGAGCCAAGAUUUAGUUCAAAGAUAGAUAUUUCCAGGAGAAAAAAUUUCAGCAAACUAUGCAAGGAUUUGCAAAAGAUCGCAACAAUAUUACCGGAAGCAUAUAAUUAUUUAUCACUGACAAAUGAUAUAGUAAAAAUUCUUUUAGUAGUUUACCUUAAGUUUAGCAAGAUCUGCUUAUUCGGCAGCCUUGAGUUUCUUCGAUUCCUUCUCUCUUGCCUUCAAACAGAUAUAGAAAUGCAAUGCAGAAUAUCAAGACAAAUUGCCAUUGACAAAGCUGUAAAAGCCUACUCAAUCGAGCAAAACUGGGACAGUUUUUCCAGUGAUCUUGACCACCUCCGCAGCAUGCCGUGGAAAUAGAUAGGAACACAUGCAGAGGGACAAGCUGAUUAUUACUUGCUUUUAGUCAAGCAUUCGAAACUGUAAGAUUCAUGCACUAUAAGAUAGCCAGACAAGCGAAAAAAUGAUGGGCAUUUCAGUUGAGGUGUCAAGAGCAAUUAGAUUGAAUUCAAACCAAAUAAAGCUUGACGCAGAAAAGAGAAAUGUUGUGCAUUGAGCGAAUAUAUGACAAAAUAAGUGCAAAGAGAGUCAUGGAUGUUCUAGCGCUUUGGCCAAUUGAGUUCUUAAAAUUUUACUUUGCUUAAUUGAAUCCUCAGCAUUUUCAAUUUCAGUCAAUUGAGUCCCUCAACCUUGAUCCUCGGAAAUAGUCACAUGGCUAUGAUUUUCCAAGUUGAUAAGAAGAUGCUCGAGAAGACAAGCGGGUAGGAGGUGAAAUGGGACCUAAGUGUAAGUUUUACUAUUUCAAUAACUACAACUGAUCUGACAGAAGAUUGAACUUUCAUGGAUCUGGCACUUCGUUUGAAGCUAUACAAACAGAAAUCAGCGGGCUCAAGAACCCAAUCUUUUAGAUAGUUUCUGAAUUAUCACACAGAAAAGCACUAGGAUAUCUUUACGCAUUCACUUAUUUCCUCUGUAAACUCACAGUUAUUAAAGUAUAUUAGGCAUCAUUUAUUUGUAGUACAUUAGGUACAGAUGUCCUCUCUUUGAGAUUCCCUCUUUUCCUCUUCUUACGAUCAGCUUUGCCAGAAGAUGUUUCCAACUUCCGACAUUGAUGAUGUCAUUUCAAGGAAUUCUCAAUGUUGAUCACAAAUCAGUACUUAACAUCUCUCUUGAUGAGCCCCUCAAGGGCUUCAUAGGCAUAAUCGAUUGGUAUCACUUCGAUUUCUUGGUAUAUGUGCUGUGCCGCACAGAGGUCUACCAUUUCUUGGAUAUACUUCAUUCCUCCAAUAGCGCUACCCAAAACUGUUUUCAAAACUGCAAAAAGUUCACUGUGAGCAACUUAGUUGGUUCGCCUAUCAUGUAUCAAUAUUUCAUUCAGUAAUGAGCUUUGAGAACAAAAACAUACCAAGGUUAAGGCUUGCCGCACUGAAUGUAAUUUCGCUUUGGGACGCAACCAAUGCUAGAACCCAUCUUCAAAAGAGACAUGUAAGGAUCAAAUAGGUGAUUAGCAGAUGCCGUGUCAAUUAUAAAGUCCAUGGACUUAGCCAUGGCCUGCAUGUAUUGGAAUCAUCAGAUCACGGCAGCACUUGACCUCCAUGGAUCCAAAGUAUUGAUAAUUCCAAAUCUUCCCAUUUGCCUUCAUCUGAAAUGGUCAGCACCAAGCAAGCUCAGUGCUUCCUCCUUUUUAGAAAUGCUUGUACUAAACACAGCGACUUUCAGUCUAAAAGCCUUCCCAAGUUUAAUUGCCACGUGACCGAGCCCACCGAGUCCAAUUACGCCGAGAGACUUACCCGGUUGGUUCAUCUUGUGACGCACCAUUUGAGUGUAUACUGUGAUUCCAGCACAGGGCAAUGGUGCUGCUAAAGCCAAUGGGUAGUUUUCUGGAAUCCUGAAGCAGUACCUGUCAAUGAAGCACCACAAUUAAGUUUCCAAAUCACACCAAAGGAGUAAGGGAUUUCCCAAUAGAAUCAGCAUCCCAUCUUUUUUGUAUAACAGGAUUCAAAUCACAUUUUACUUGCUUAGAGCACAAUUCAGCAUCAUGUGGUUUCUGUGAUUCUUUUUCUGACCACAAAUUGCUUAAGACGAAAACUUCUUGUUGUAGCGACGAAAGUAAAGCCACUGCAACAUAUAGGAGGCCAUACUCGAUCAAAAUUGAGAAAAGAGGCUUGCUCUUAACAGAGGACACUGGAAGCAUAUUGCAUGUGCAUGACAGAUCAUGUAAUUUCUCUAUUCCCCUCAAUCAUGUCUCUAAGGGACACGAUAUUCCCGCGACUGUUGGAUACAAGAAUUCGUGAAAGCACGUAAAUUUUAUUACCCAUUUGAUCUAACACUUACUAUCUAACUCUUGGAAACAAUCUACAAAAAAGGGAGGAAGAGGAGACAGAAGGCGAGAAUUGAGCAAUUUCCAUCUCUCUCUCUUUUAAUUAAGGGUUAAUAUCCUAAAAAAUCCCAAACCGGUACACGUGACAAAUUUACCCCGAUGGACUAUAAAAAAAACCCUAAACUUAUAUAUUUAUGACAAAUUUACCCCAAACUAAUUUAUUCGACGGCAAAAAACCCGAAAAUGGUAAAUUUGUGACAAAUAUACCAUCUGCUAAACUGAAUUAAUAUCACAAAAAAAUCACAAAAAUUGUAAACUGUGACAAACGGGGCGUAAAAUUUCAAAUUGGUAUACUAGUCAACUGUCACGUGUCAUUUAACUUAAUAAUUUGACAGUAAAAUUUAACGAAAACUAACAGAGGGUAAAUUUGUCACAAGUAUAACAGUUUAGGGUAAAUUUGUCAAAUGUAUACCAGUUAGGAGUUUUUGGUGGUUAAAAAAAUAGUUUGGAGUAAAUUUGUCACAUGUGUAUCAAUUUUGGGUUUUUUAGGAUAUUAACCAUUUAAUUAAUUUAGUUUUCAAUUUUAUUUUAUUAAUUUUUCAUGAAAAAAUCAUAUAUUAGAUUUAUUGGCUCACAUGUCAUUGUCACUUGAUGUGUAUGAUAUAUAGAAUAGUCCAAGAAAUUUGACUUUAGAUACUUGGGAACCCGUGAAUGGUCAUACAUUGUCGGUUACACAUUCAACAUGAUGUAUUAGCUAAUCAUAGUCCUCUAACGGUUUAUAUUUGCUUAAUAUAUUUCAAGAAUAUUCAUUUGUUAGACUUGUCUGCUCACACGCCACUGUCACUUGAUGUAUAUGAUAUGCAGAAUAGUCUAAGAGCUUUGACUUUAGAUACUUGGGAGUGUCUAUGCUUGUUUUAUGUCUGUUAUGCUUGCAAUGCUUCUUGUUUUGAGUGGACAGUACAAAUAUUUAAGUCCGUGUCAAUUUGAACAAUUUUCUUUAUUAUAGAGCAACAAUCUUUAAUCUAUUGUGUUCUUGACCACAAAAAACCAAAUAACAAAUAAGUAUAAACUAUUGUAGGGUCCAACGACAAUCUUUAAUCUAUUGUGUUCUUGACCACAAAAAAUCAAAUAAUAAAUAAGUAUACACUAUUAUAAGGCCCACUCCUUUAAAAAUUUGUUGCUCACAACAACUUAUUUAUUCUCAUAAUAACCCAAAGUUAUGCUAGCAAAGCUCUUUUUAGUAAGUGUAUUGAAAGUUUUAAAAACUUGUCACUAAAGUGCAUUGAGUCCUAAAAUUUUCAAAAAAAUGCAAUUUAAUCUUAAAAUUUGUCAUGAAAUGCAACUGAGUCUUAAAAUUUUCAAAAAGUACAAUCAAUUAUAAAGAUUUAUCAAAAUUGGUCCAAUUUAAGUCAUUCCAUUGAUUGUAAUUUUUGAAAGUUUUAGAGCUCAACUAUGCUUUCCUAACAAAUUUUAGGACUUAAUUAUACUUUUUGAAAAUUUUAGAACUUAACUGUAAUUUAUGAUAAGUUUUAGGAUUUUUAGUAUACUUAUCUUUUUUUUUUUUUUCACCUCAUUAAUCUUUUUAGCAACAAUGAGCUUGACAUGUCUCUGUUUUCAAGAUUUCAGUGGCUAGGGAAAACAAAAGGGAUGUCCUCUAAUGAAUCAACAAUCUUCCUGCCAUGACAAUGCCGGAAGAGAGAUGAGUGUCCUACAUAUUUAUCAAAAAUGUUCAUGUUAUAAUUGGUAGGCAUUCACUCUGCCAACGUGCAUGAACAUUUCCGGAGAUGAAACAUUCGUGAGGAGCCAGUAAAGACAUCCUGCUAUUUAAACCGGCAAAGGGAUAUCAAGCUUGCUCUAUUGGCAAGUAUAUUGUCGUCAGAUCAGCCUAAUUAAUCCGAUAUUUUUUCAUACAAAAAAUCGUCAUCGAGGCCAACUUAAUCCAAAAUGCCAAUGGACAGGCUUUGGUAAGCUAGUGGAUAGGUAUGCCGCUUUAUCUUAUGUCGUGCUAUCUCACGAGAGAUGGUGCUGCGUUCUCUUUAGAAUGCACAUGACUUGGGAUAGGAAAACCUUAGGAUCCGACUAGGAGGAAGGAAAAAAGCAAUCUAUUGUCGGGCCAAUACAAGAUCAUUUCAUGUCAAACUCCGCAGUCUUGAGGCCAUGGAAUCUACGACAAACUUGCUCAUUCACAAGGACUGAGCAAAUAAAUGAUAAAAUAAGAGCAAUAGUCGUCAUUGAUCGUCUACCCUUUGAUUGAUUGGAUUCUAAAUAUUUUAUUUUCAAUUGGGGUCUAAAUAUUUUAUUUGAUUCAAUUGACUUCUAAACAUUUCCAAUUUUAGUCAAUCAAGUCCCUCGAAUAUUAACCGCGGAAAGAGGCACAUGGCUGUGAUUUUACAAGUGGCUAAGGAGAUGCUUGAGGAGAAAACCUGUUAGGAGAGGCGAAACCAUUCCAGCAGAACUCUCAAGAAGCCAAUUUUUCAGACAGUUUCUCAAUCAUCACAUAGAAAAGUACCAGGAUUUCAUUACCCAUUUCACUUAUUUCUGCUAUAAAACUCACGAGUAUCGAAGUAUAUCAGGCAUAGUUUAUUUGUACUCCAGCAGAACAACUAAAAAGGCACAGAUAAUGCUCUCCUCUAGCUGAAACUCCCACUUUUCCUCUCUGUGUGAUCAGCUUUGCCAGCAACAAUUUCCAACUACCCAAAUUGAUGUUGAAAUUUAAUCAAAUAGACUCAGAGAAGAAAACCCGCAAGAGAAUUGUUGCUGUAACUUUCGUUAAGAAAACCCACACGAGAAUUGUUGCUGUAACUUUCGUUAUUUUAUUCAUCAGAACAUAAGCCUAUUAAAUAGGCAGAACAUCCAAACCACUUAGCAAGAAAAUAGCUAUAGAACAACAACAACAAAGACCCACUAACAUACCCCACUAACCAGAACAUAUGCAGAAACUAACUCCUAAAAACAAGCCACUUCCUAUUGACUAGGACUCCACUAUUACAUUAUUGAAGACACAUAAAAACAAAGUUAACUACUUCAACAAUUGAUGGUGUCACUUCAAGGAGUUCUCAAUGUCGAUCACGAAUCGAUACUUAACAUCUCUCUUGAUGAGCCUCUCCAGAGCUUCGUUGGCAUAAUCGAUCGGUAUCACUUCGAUGUUUGGGUAUAUCUUCUGUGCUGCACACAGGUCUAUCAUUUCUUGGGUAUCCUUUGUUCCUCCCGUUACGCUACCUGAAACAGUUCUCAUAUCUGCCAAAAGUUCACCGCAAGCAACUUAGUUCACCUAUCAGGUAUAAAAUUUCAUUUAGUAAUCAGAUUUGAGAACAAAAACAUACUGAGGUUAAGGCUGGCUGGACUGAAUUUAACUUCGCUCAGGAAGCCGACCAAUGCUAGAAUGCCACCCGUCUUCAAAAGAGACAUGUAAGGAUCAAAUGGGUGAUCACCGGCUGCCGUGUCGAUUAUAAAGUCCAGGGACUUAGCAAUGGCCUGCAUGCAUUGGAUUUAUCAGAUCACAACAGAAUUUGACCACCAUGGAUCUCAAUGUGGAUAAUUCUAGUUUUUCCUCUUUUUACCUUCAUCUGCUCUAGGUCAGAUGAGAUAACGAAAUGGUCAGCCCCAAGCAGGCUCAGUGCUUCCUCCUUUUUAGAAAUGCUUGUACUGAACACUGUGACUUUCAGUCCAAAAGCCUUCCCAAACUUAACUGCCAUAUGACCGAGCCCGCCAAGUCCAAUUACACCUAGAGACUUACCAGGUUGGUUCAUCUUGUGACGUAUCAUUGGAGUGUACACCGUGAUUCCAGCACAGAGCAAUGGCGCUGCUAGAUCCAUCGGGUAGUUUUCUGGAAUCCUGAAGCAAUACCUGUCAAUGAAGCACCACAAUUAAGUUUCCAAAUAACACCAAGAGAGGAAGUGAUUUCCCAAUAGAAUCAGCAUCUUGUCUUUGUUGUCUAAAAGGAAUCAAAUCACAGAGCCAGAAAUCCUAUCUUCUGCAUGCUUGGGAAUUUUACUUGCUUAGACCACAAUUCAGCAUCAUGUUGUUUCUGUGAUCCUUGUUCUGACCACAAAUUGCUCUAGACAAACAUUUCUUGCUGUAGCAAUGUAAAUAAAGCAAUUGCAGAAUACAGGAGGCCACACUCGAUUAAAAUUAAGAAAAGACACUUGCUCUAAGAAAGGAAACUGGUGGCAUAUCACAUAUGCUUGACUGAACACGUAAUUUCUCUAUUUCCUUCAAUCAAUUUCUCCAAGGGACACAAGAUUCCUGUGGCUCUAUCAGAUACAAGAAUUAGUGAAAGCACAUACAUUUAGCUACCCAUUUGAUCUGAUACUUAUGAUCUAACUCUAACAAUCUAAGGACAGCUUAUUCCAUUCCUGACAAUGGUUAUUGAAAAGAAAGAAUUUCUUUUUGCAUUUAAUAAAGCCAAUUCUCCAUUGAAUGGUUUGAAUGGUAAUUAGAUACAAAGGACUUAAAGACUCUCCAGAGCCGUUAUAGAAAGUAUCUUUAUCCCUUUCCACAAGAUGCAAUUAAUACCUAAAAGCCAUUCCUCACAGUCCUAUGCAUUAUGCCACUUCUGGUCACAAUCAGAAAUUCAGAAUACAAAGAAAAUUAGCAGAGAAGAAGACAUGACAUGAAAUCUUUUUUUGGCCACCAUGAUUUGGAAUUCUGUCACAGUGCAAAAUGCUGCCUAAUAACGCUGUGUCAAUAAGCAAUUACCUUUCAUGGAUGACAAUGUGACUAGAAUAUCCUCCCUUUGUGACUGUACCGUCCGCAUCGAUUCCAUCAAAAGUCAAAACCGCCUUUUCACAUUGGGUUUCUAGCCUGUCAUUGCAAUACUCACACUCUCUGCAUGAAUUGACAUAAGUUCCCACCCCCACAUGAUCGCCAACUUUGAAGCGUUGGACACUGGAGCCAACCUGUUUCACAAUUCCAACUAUCUCGUGCCUGAAUCAAUCAAAAAAAUCAUUUGCAAAUUUUGUUCAGAGAAUUAUGAGGAUGGUGCUAAGAAAAAAAGAUUAACAUUUGAAUCACGCUGCAUCCUACCCUGGCACCAGAGGAUACUUGGAGUGUCCUUGCACAUUCCUAGUCCAAGCCACAUCUGCAUAGCACACUCCACAGUGCGUGAUCUUAAUCGAGACGUCUUCGCUUCCCACGGCCCUAAAGAGAUGAUUCCCAAACAGGUGAGCAUAUAAUCCAGUGACUAAUCAGACUAGGGUACCUUUUUUUUUCCAUUUUCAAGAUCAACAAACUAAGCUUGACCUACGAUUAUCGAGAAAACAAGAAACCAGAAAUGAGAAAAGGAAAAAUUCCAUGACUGCAAGCAUAUUUGUCCAUACGCUAGAUACAACCUCAAAUGCUCAGAAAGGCAGCCAGUACAGGAUCCUCAUGUCUGCCAUGAAAUUCUGAGUAACCCAUUACCAACAAUUCUCGACCCAGAAUUCAGCGCAUACACAACAAAAGAAAGAACGAAAAAAUGAAAUGGUCUGGACCGAAAACUGUCUCGCGUGAACACUGUACUGAGACUCUCGCAUGAACACUUUCGGUAGAAAUCGAAAAAGAAAAAAAAAUGGCAAUACCUGCGGGUGAAUUUGUAGGGGGAGAGGAACCCAGAAGGGUCCCGGGCAGCCCAACCGAGGCAAUCCUCCUUCCCACCCUCCGAGCUCAUCUUCUGUACCUACACACCCAGCGAAGCAAUCACACAAAUGGGUACGGUUAGAUUCAUCCAAAGGAGAAGAAGAAAGGGUGAGAACUCGAACGAGAAAGUGCCCAAGAUCAGAGACUCAACGGGUCAUCACUCGGCGAGGACUCGAGUCACAACGAGCUCGCCAUCACUCACCAACUCACUCACUCACCCACACCCACCUACCCAAACACAACCCCACGGGCCACAGCAACUCAGAGAGAGAGAGAGAGAGAGAGAGAGAUGACUACGGAGAUGGAGAUGAAGAGAGGUUACGCUGUGGAGUAUGCAGGAGCGCGAAGAGGGUGACGAGCCGAGCACAGUCGAGGACGGGAGGUUCAACGAAGACUUUUUUGCCCCCUCCUACUUCGCAGGAAAGCUGCGAGUAAUCCGAUGGAUUUUAUAGCGUUGGCCCGAGAUAGUUACGAAAAUAUUGGAAGGAAAAAUUAUCCGAAACUUUAACUCAACAUGUACCGUGAUCUAUAAGGAAAAAUAUAGUAUAUAGAAAUGAAAGAUGAGUAGAAAAAGAAAUGGACGAUUGCUGUCAAAUUAAAACUAUUCCCAAGUCAACUUGUCGGUCCCUUUCCUUCCAUUAUAAUCCUUUUUUAUAAUGUAACUGAAGAUUACUGGCUUUGUCACAACCAACGUAAACCCUCCAAAAGGUAAAAGAACUUAUGCAAAAGUAUAAAAAUGAAAGAUGUGUUGAAAAAAUGAGGACAAUAACCAAACGCGUGCAACUCAAUUGCACUUUUCGAUAAGGAUAAACUGUACCUCUCCUCAUCAUUGAAAGAGAUGGGAUUAAAUGCCUCUCCUCAUCAUUGAAAGAGAUGGGAUUAAAUGCAGACGUGAUUGACAUAGAGAUUAUCACAAGAAAUUAAAUAAAAAUAAGUCUUUCUUGGUAACGAGAUGUUUGUUCUCGUGACCGUGUAGGUCUUUCUAGGUUCUCUGACGCGUGCCAUGAGGUCAUGGCAUGUUAUGCAACCAAAUAUAUCCAUUCUAUAUUUCUAUGGUAACUAUCCAUCGUUACCUCCUGUGAACCUAAGAAGAACAAAACCAAUCCAUAAAGCUGUGGAGGAUCAAGAACAACCUGCCAUAAGUUAUUGAUGAACUCAGUUAAUUGUUCGAAGCCUUAGAAGCGAAUCAUUAAAACUUUAAGCAACUAAAAUGUCAGAUGCCAAACAGAAGGAAAAUCUACAGAGCCAACAUCUGGAUCGGAUCAAUGAUGGCAUAUCAACAACUAAGGGAAAAAUCUGCUACUAAAUAUUUAUCUGAAACUAGAGGAUGACGUUGCACUUGCAUAACUCCGUUAACGCAGAUCAAUGGUCAUGCUCUGUCUAGCUUUGUUAGAAGUUUGAAAACUCUACACGGACAGGCACUAUUUGCAAGAAGACGUGUUCCCUAUGCUCAUCUUUGUACUGAGCUGGAAAUGCUUUUAGCAGAUAGCUGUGCCUCCAGAAACAAAUCGCAUGAAGUGGCCCACAAUUCUCUGGCAAGUCCGGUGUCGUACGAAACUGAAGAAGAGUUGAUAGUCCGGCCCCUCCCACCAAAGAAAUACACACCAGAAAUUUCCUAUUUUUGCAAGACAGCGGCUAUUAGUAAGCACUGUUCCAACAUAUAAUAGCAGCCACAUAAGAUUGAUACCAUAGAUUAUCAGCAGAGAAGGGAAAAUCAAUUCUGGAAACAUACUGUCAUACCGUAGAAUCAACAUUAAUGGAUUUUACGUCCAAUGUUAGUGUGACCUCAGUUGAGGAUAAAACGAGAGAGACUCAUUCAAGAUGGUUCAGAUAAGUGAAGCACCAGUACAGGAAUGCUUUACACCAGCCUAUUUAGUGGGAAAAGAUCACUAUCACCCAUAAAUGCAGCUGUGGUUGCCUAUUGAGAUGAAACCCAGGUGAUUUCAUUGCAGUCCCAUCUAGCAUAUAGCAGAAAUUAAAGAUAAUGAUUGCAGUCAGAAAAACUCACAGGAGGGGCAAGGGCUGCAUCCAGAACUGAGUUGACCGCACCUUCAGGUGAAUCCAAAAGACCCAUUGCAGUUAAAAAUGCAAAAGCUGUGUAGGACAGGUAAGGGGGAACUUCUCGCAUGAUACUGGUUUUCACUACUCCAGGAUCCACAGCACUGGAAAUAAAAAAGAAACAGGAUAACAUCUCAAUUGUGCUGCCAGCAUGUAUUCAUACACAAAACUUUAGAGAAAGACAAUCUACAAAGCCUAAGUACAUUUUCUUGUUUAUAAUCAACUAGUAUAGUAUCUCUGAUAACAAAAACCAGGUUUUCAACUAAAAAGGGAUAGCUCAUAGAUUUGUGGAAAGUGGUAAGUGGAAAGUUCAAAUUCAACUACCAUACAAACUUAAGGGUGAGAUUACACUGUCCUACAAGAAUGCUUAAAUCCAGAGUGGCAGGAUUGUUGAUACAUACAGAAUGGAAACAUGACAGGAGCUUUCCAAGCGAAGGCGUCGAUGAAGUUCAUAUGAGAACAGCAGAAGGCAUACUGUAAACAAACAGGAAACUCUUACUAAAGUUUGUGAGAAGAUGUGACAUUUGCUUCUCAAAUAUUGCUGUAUCUUUUAUUCUAUCCUUUCCUUUUUGGUGCUAGGCUUCUCGAAUAAAACAUGAAACUUACAUUUUGAAUAACCAUAGAUCUGUGCACAUGGAUACUGUUUCAUCCUGAAGGAACUCUUCCCAAUAACACUUUCCUUGUCAAAUGUCGCACCACAUACUGAAGAAGAGGAGAACCGAGGAAAAGGAGAUUUUAAAUAAAUAAAUAAAAACUAUGACUCUAAACCUAGUAUAACAAUUGCACUAAAACAGAAACUGCACAGAGAAGUUGGACAGCAAGAAACUACAAGCAAACAAUACCAACUAUUUGACAUCAUAAAAGAGUUCUGUAACUUAGACAUUGAGUACAGCUAUAUUGCAUGUUCUAGUUUUAGCUUGCUAUCUCAGGCACUGUUAAAGUCCUAGAUGGGCACCAUAUUUAGUUCACUAAUUGAAUGAAAAAAUGACAUGCCAUAAGGGUCAGCAAGCCCGGGUUUCACAGAGGAACCUCCUUGCAGGCUGGCCACCGGCUGCAAUCAGUGUUCCACAGAUAAAUGGAAGUGUUUCUGACCACAAAGUGAAAAUAUCUUACCGCUUCGAUGUGUAAAGGACGUGACAUUGACUAUCCGGGAUGGAACAGGGCUGUUUCUGAGAAGUGGUAAUAAAUGCUUUGUCAAAAAGAAUGGUCCCAUGUAGUUCGUUGCCAUCAUCCUGGUGCAUAAAGAGGUGGAGAGAAGAAUCAACAGGAGAUCAGGCAACAAUGCAUUAUGAAAGACUGCAAUUAAUAAAUUCCAUUCCAAAAAGAGAAAAGCAAAACAGUGGGAGAUGCCACUUGCUACCGUGGCAACAAAUCUCCACAAGUAAACUACAAGUUGACAAGGUAUAUAGGAAAAUCAAAAUCACUAGAACAUUAGACUUUCAAUUGGGAAAGUGACGACACUAUUAUCGUUACUUAUUUAGAAAUUAGAACAUAUGCAUCUCAUUAGUUAAAUCUAAAACAACAGAAUAUAUAUUCUCCACUGUGACUGCUGUAGUGUUUAGAUUGCCAAAUAUUUGGAUCUUUGGAAAGAAUAUUGCAAAAAAAUUCCCAUGGCAAUAAGAUAAUUACUCAUCGAAGCCUUCAGCUGUAAUUCUGUAGGAUGUUGCCAACAUUCCAGCAUUAUUUAUCAGAAGCUGGACUGAGGCAUGCAUAUUUGAUUCCAACAGCCAUUGCUCAAGGGAGCAUCUGAAGUGUAAGAUUGACUCGAUAGAUGAUAUAUCAGCUUGAAAAGCUUUAAGAUGGGCAUCCUUAUUGUGUUUACAAAUCUCUGCCACUCUCUGUGACCCAAAAAAAAAAAAAGAAUCAUUGAGAGCAUCAUGUAGAGCAAAGAAGCUAAAACGGAUGCCGCACAACAAGUACCUCUGACAACCUGUGAGCAGACCGUCCAACUGCAGAGAAAGCAUAAAUUUCAGUUAAAUAAUUGUACCUGCAUGGAUCAAAACUCAUUCUUCUUGUAACAAAGAAAAGAUGCAUUUUGCAUUAACUCUAAGGACAACAAACAGUCAUUCGUACAUUAUUUGUCACAUUAAGCAAUUGACAAGCUUUUCUCUUUGCUUGAAUCACCAAGUAAAGACCAGAGAACAUUCAUAUAUCUACCCAUAACUCUUCCUAUGAGAGUGUUCAUCACAGACUGGUGGCAUUUAUGUAGACAGCCUAUUUUUUUUUCCUCCUAAUGUAGCUAUCAUCAGGAUGAUCCAGCACAAGCAAUCACAGAAAAUCCAGGCAUGGGGUUGAACUAAGUGUUGCUACAUCCAUAUCAAAGGAAUGAGGAGGAUAAACCACAGACUGCGACAUUACCAAGGACAACAACGAAACCUUCUUUUGAAAGAGCAUAAGCAGCCGCUGCACCCAAACCAGAUGUAGCCUGCAGGCAAAAGGCAGAGAAAGCUCUCAGUAGGAUAAUCUAAUUGAGGACAUUUGCUACUAGCAAAAGAAAUCCGUCUUACGCCGGUGAUAAUGCAGAGAGGUCUCAGAGGAACUUCUAUGUUGGCAUUUCGAGGGUAUGAAACAAUUCGACCAAAAAGACCACGGCUGAAGAAUUGCCAGUAUGAGGCCAGCAAAGAGAACGUCCAAAGUACUGCCAUUAUCCAGAAGUCUACUGUACAAAUGAAACAAAAAGCCUCGACCAACUCCUUUGACAUUAUUCUCAUCUUUGCCACCAUGGACUUCUUACCUGUGUUGGCAAAGUGAAAACAACAAAACAAAUUCAGGAUACUAAUAAAUCCAACAGAAAAGUAUAUGCGCACGGUAAAGUCCUAAAGUUUAUUGGAUUAGGUAGUGGAACUCGAAUUUAAAUCAAGUGAAUGUCACAAUUAAGUACUGGAGAGACCCAAUCUACGGAGAAAACACGCACCCUUACAUGACCAGUGCAGCAAAAUGAGUGCCUUGUUAUUUGACAGUCAGAGUUGAGACCUCAGUGUUCAGUCUACAGGAAAAGUUUUAGCAACCUCGAGAGAGGUAAGAACUAGGCAGAUCUCACUAUGCAACCAUAAAUCAACUAACUUCAGGUGUACUUUCAAACAAAUUCUUUGACCAAGCAUCUGAGGGAAAUCAACAAUACAGAGUUCAACAUUCUAGUUCGUAAAUACUUUGGCCUUUUCAUUGUCAUGUAUGAAUGACGGUUUCCCUAUUGUUUAGAAUGUACAGCUUUGAAGUGUCUUAAUGCCACCUUGUCUUCCCACCACAGCAAACACAGACCCAGGUAAAGGAAUCAAAUGUUAAAUCCAGUCUUAAUAAAUUUACACAUCACAACACACAACCCAGUGAGCUUACUUCAUCGGUUAGAGUCACCAUGCUCACCCAGAGUAACAAGCACACCAUCAAAAGUAAGAUUAACAGAGAUAGCAAAUGAUAUAGCUUGUUUCAAAAUGAAAUUCUGUUCAUUUCCAAGCUCCAGACUUUCCACAUCAAAGCUUGACGUCUACUCACCCUAAACAGACGCAGCUAUAAAAUUAUCAUCUACCAGCAGAACUCGUGAAAUUCCACACAAUUCAAACGGGCCUACACGCACGUCACCGACCUAGACACGUUCCCUAUUAAACAUUAAACAAUCACCACCCCAAAUCAUCUCCAAGCUCAACGUCCUCACCAUGCAACAGCUCCAGAGCUCCAAAAAGACCCAACAAGUUUUUCGCCAACCUUCACGUCAACUCAAGCUCCCCCGCUCACUUCCUCCCUGACAAUACACACCCCCCACGAAGCGCGCUCUAAGAAGCAUUACGUCAAACACAUUGGGGACAUCGAAACUCCGGGCAGAGUUCUCCCACGAACCCAACGCAAAUGGGCAUCCACGAAAACAGGAACUUGCAGAGAGGCGAACGCGGGCGCUCGUGCAGAUCACUGUAAAGCUAUUGCAACGAAACGUGAAGGGUUGCGCCGGAAACGAAAGGGCGACUCACGGGGAACGUGAAAGGGUCGAAGGAACGAAGGAAGGCGAGAGCAGAGACGGGUCGCCUCGACUCGACACGGUUCUCGUCGAAACCAGGAGAGUCUUGAGAUUGACUGGAGGAAAAAUCCGAGCUUUACAAAAAGUUAGAUGCAGGAUGAGACGAACAUCCGGUUCUUCAACCCGAGUAAAAGCGUUGACACUAAGGGCAAACUUUUCCUUGCAUAUUAGGGAGAAUUAAGUGGGAAAUUUUCGUUUAUCGAAUUCGCCAACAUGUUUUCCAAAAAAAAAAAAAAGGAAAAAAAGAAAUCACUAACGUAAUUUCAUUCACUAUCACCCCUUUUGAAAAAUCAAAUCCAUGCAUGGGACCGAUUAAAUUUCAUUCGUCAAUCAGUACUCUUUUGUAUGAGAACUUGAAGAAAGAAUGACUCGCAAAAUACAUAAAAAAAAAUGGAACAUCACAAGAUAUGCAAAAAUUACUGUAAAAGAAUCAUAGAUUACAUGUUCUAACAAAAAGGAAUCAUUUAUUGCAUUUGUGUGAUGUAAACUAUACUGGAAUUAUUUCUUGUAAAUCUUGAGAGUGGUAGUAAUUGUGUCAACAUUUGGAAUCCUAUUAGGGAUAAAUAUAUUGAAAAUAUUAAAAUUUGUCACGAAGUUACAAUUUAACCCUAAAAUUUGACCAAAAAAAAAAUUCCAAUCAAAUUCUAAAAUUUGUUACAAAGUGUAAUUGAAUUUUUAAAACUUUUAAAAAGUACAUUCAAGUUCUAAAUUUUAUUAACAUUUUUCGUUUGUCAAAUUUGAUGGAGUUUAGGAAAAUACUUGAUUAUAUUAACUUGUCAAGUUGGCUUGGGCCAAGUUUGGCAUACCUAUAGUCCGUCGGAUCCAUGUUAAGGUCUACUAGCUUUGACCCUCCCUAGCUUUUGGGCUGGAUUGGGUCGCUGCGCCCAGCCCUUGCAGGAUCUCUCUCUCUCUCUCUCUCAACUUUCCCUAUGUGUUUUUUGGUUACUUUAACAUUUUUAUUUGUCUUUUGAAUUAAUGAUCUCACGUGGCAUGGUUCAAAUUACUGGGGUGUCAGAACCAAAACCAAAACUAAAAUCUAACCGAAAUUUCAUGCAUUUUUUAUUUGAUUUGGUUUUGGUUAGGAUAAUAGAAAGAUAACGGUUAUUUGUUUUCGAUUUGGUGAAUCGAACUGAAAUCCUUAAUACAAAUAAAUGCACAACUUAAAAUCCCUCCUUUUUCUCAUCUCUUAUUCUAUUUGAUUCCAAUGAGAAGGUAAAAAUCAAAAAACCAAAAACUGAAAACUGAAUUGAAAAUAAUCCAAUCGGAUUUUUAGUUCAGUUUGUAUUUGAUUCAGAUCGCAACUUGGUUUGCUUUAAUUACUUAUCUUAUCAGUUCGGUUUGGUUCGGACUUUAGGACAUUCGAACUAAAUCGAAACGUUGACGCCCCAUUAGCCACAUAGAUGAAGUCAUGUCUAUAAUUCAACAACGUUAAUUAUGAUGGUUGACGACAGAGUCAGCAAGAUGCAAAAGAUAUAGAAAUACAUCAAAAGAAGGAAAAAAUAGUUAGAGGACCCAAUCGCAGGAACAUCAGUACUAUAUCGAGAACAAAAAAUUGCUAUGAACUAAAUCAUACAUUAAAAGUAGGAAACAAGGAGAACUAACACGACCGUUAAUAGCAGCAUUGACAUCUAUGUCCAUGGAGAAUUUUUCUUACGCAACUACCACAGGUGGAUCCCAGCUAAUUUGCUGUCUAUCUAAUCCCGGGUGAAAACGGUCGGGCCUUGGUUCGGAGCCGUCGAGGACACACGACCAUCCUCAACGCUCCAAGCUCGUCCUCCUCCGGCGCAGUGGCUCGGCCUCAUAUCCUCUAAGCUUCACGGCUUUGUAAGUCACGGCGCCAGCUAUGGCUCCGAGCGGAGGAGCCACCAUGUACAUCCACAAUCCUUUGUAGUUCCCUGCGGCCACGGCCGGGCCGAGAGUCCUCACGGGGUUCAGGGAACCUCCGGUCGGCAUCCUGCAUUUCCCGGGAACAUUGUUAAGGAACAUUAUGAAAGCUAAAAUUCUGUAACAACGCGUCCAUACUUGCACGCCCGAAGGUGAGUAGUUUCAGUACAAUGCUUACCCUGUCACAAGAACGCCAAGCAGCACCGUUGCUCCGAUUGCAAUACCUGCCAAAUCUCCUACCUAUCAUCAGAAAAAAGGAACAAAUGUAAGUGAAAUGGAUACAUGCUGUAUACAGAUGCCACGAGUACAGAUAGAGGAAGAGUCGAUAUGCAGCAUGGCGACGUACUGCACGAGUGUCGGUCACCACCGCGACGAUCACGAACGCGAGAAUGAAAGUGGCGAGAAACUCGAGAGCAAACGCCUGUCCGAUGUCCACCGAAGGCACCGUGACGCCGCCGUUGGCAAAGGGAUGGAAAACGCCCUUGAGGACGUAGGAAGCACACAUCGAGCCCGCAACCUGCGCCGCGAUGUAGCCAGGCACCUGGAUCCAUGGAAAGUGCCAGAUCACCGCGAGGGCGACUGUCACCGACGGGUUCAGGUGGGCUCCUGAAAUGUGACCGAUCGAGAAAACUAUGAUCAUCACGGCGAGCCCAGCGCAUGCCGCGUUCCCAAGCAACGUCUCUGCUCCGUUGUACUUUUGGUUCACAAUGGGCCCGCCCACCGCGCAAAGUACUAAGAAGAAGGUUCCAACGAACUCUGCUCCGACCUGCAUCGUUCAUGUAAAUCUAAAUAAGAAAAUCUAUCCUAUCUUUCUUUCUUGGUUUCACUCGCUAUGAAAAGGCAUAAGAAUUAUCAGUUUAUGCUGCAACAGCUAGCGAGCCUGUCUAAUCUUUACUGAUCUUUGAGGUCGAUUGGGCUUUACCUUCCGCAACGAAUCAUACUUAUCCGGCUGGAGACGCCGAACACCUUCCGUUGCACCGUCACUCGGCGCACACCACUUGCACUGUACCACGGACCCGUCCUCCGGCAACGAUGAGUCCACUUGCAACGUCACAGAUGCCGGUUGGCACAUCUUCUCUUGCCUGGACAGCUCGAUGGAGAUUAAGGGAGACCAGAGGUCGCGAAUAAAGGAUCAAGAGAUCGAUGAGAAGAGAGAUCAAGACGAGAGGGAGCCUUCAGUCUGUUGCCUCCGUCUAUGAUAGUUGAUUGCAGCGACCCCAAAAGCAUUUUAUAGGAGAGAAGACAACGGCUUUAACAUCGCCAACAUCAUCUUCUUGUUCACUAGUUCGGCUUGUUGACUCGCUCCAUAGGAUUCGGUCAUUCAUAGUAGUUCGGACUGUCUGCACCUUGACUAGAUCUAGGGUUACUCUAUACAAGUAAUGAUUUGACUCGGUUUGGCAUGCUCAGAAAAACUUGGAGGGCACGUUUCUAUUUCUGAAAUUUAGGUGUGCAAGUCUACAUUUGUGGACCAGAUAUUGAAUAUUUAAGACCGAUUCUAUAAAGAGAAGAUCCAUCAAAACGUAUUUUCUUUUUUUUGUUUGGGGGGGAAGAGUUAAGGGCUGCGUUUGUUUUGAUUUCUUUUUUCUGUUUUUAAACAAUUUUUUUUGUUUUUUUGUUCCUGGGAACAAAAAAGGAACAGAAACGCGUUUGUUUGCAUUUUUAUUCCAAAAUUAUUUUUUUGUUCCCAGAAACACAUCUGGAACAAAAACAAGAAACAAAAAAAAAAGUUGUUUCUUGUUUCUGGAACAAAAUUUAGGAACACUUUCUUCUUCUCUCUUUUUUCUUCUUCUUUUCUUCUUCUUUUUUCUUUCUUUUUUCUUUGGCCGGUCGCCGGCCUCAACAAUUGAACCUUCUCAAACUGUUUCUUCUUAAGAACCAAAAAUAUUUGUGCCAAAAUAACAGAUGCCAAGAAGAACAAAAGGCCUUGGACACGGAAUGGAUCUUGAAGUACUAUUUCCGCAUCUCCUUGACCAAAUCCACCCACAUUAGGAUUACUCGUUAAUGGCUGAUCAAGUUUGAUAGAUUCGCCUUCGGAAACAAGAAGUUCUGGCCCUGGUGGAAUAAUAUCAACCACUUGACGUUCAUCUGACGCAUCCGAUAUGGUUAUUUCGUACCCCCCUUUUUCUUUUCGUAUGAUUUUACUUACUACACCAGCCGCUGUAGCAUUAUAAACUGUAUUGUUACUCUUGCUCCCAUCGGGAUAAAUCUGACCCAUUCCUCUGUUCCCGCCUACAUAUAUGGGAUAUUUUAAGAAGUGAACAUCUUUAUUAGUAGCGGGGUCCGGGGAAAGAAUAGGAAAGGUGACUUCACUAUAUUUCUGACCAGAAACAGGACCUAUCACAAGAAUAUUUUUUUUAUUGGGGCGAUAGCUCUGAAAAGACAGAUUGCCUAUCUUUUCUUUCAUCUCGGGCGAAAUACGAUCGGGAGGUGCUAAUUCAAAUCCCUCAGGUAAAAUAAGAACAGCCCCCACAUUCAAACCUCCCAUUUUACCAUUAGCAAGAACUUGUUUAACUUGCAUAUCAUAAGGAAUUCGAACAACUGCUUCAAAUACAGUAUCAGGAAGUACCGCUUGCGGAACCUCAAUAUCCACGGGCUUAUUAGCUAAAUGGCAAUUGGCACAUACAAUACGUCCGGUCGCUUCUCGUGGAUUUUCAUAACCCUGUUGUGCAAAAAUGGGAUAUGCAUUUGAAAUGGAUGUCCGAGCUAUGAUAUAUAUCAUCAGCGAUACGGAAAUAGAUCGAAUAAUCUCUUUCUUUAUCCAAGAAAAGGUGUUUUUAGUUUGCAUGGUCCAAUCAUUGAUCCCGAAAAUUUCUACAAUAAAAUUAGGUAGGUCGCUUGUAUAGUUCCCUAUCCACAAUUCUGCUAUUUACUUUAUUGAAAUCAUUUUACUGGAAUAUAAGGAGUAGGAGAAAUCCCUGUAGGGUAGAAAGAGUAAGUACGUCUUAAAAUGGAAAUGCUUUGCUUAUGUACCUUAUGUUACAAAGUAACAAAUAUUCUAGUUAGAUCAGUCAUUCAUUGAAUGAUAAAUCACUACAAGUGAUGGAGAUAUACGAUUUAAAUAGCGGAAGAUCCAAUAUUUAAAAAUUGUAUCCAGAAUGACUGGAAAAGUAGAAACAAGACCCGAUAUAAUUUGAUCGUUGUGAGCAAAUCCAAAAUCUUUGUAGACAUAGCCAAUCAUUAGUUCCCAACCAUGGGGCGAAUGGAAUCCGAUACAUAAAUCAGUUAAUAAAAGAAUAGAAAAAGCUUUUAUUGUGUCACUUAAGUUAUAUAGGAAUUCUUGAACCCAAGAGUUAAGAAUAGCAAGUUCUUCAUUACCCAGAAUAGAAUAACCACUUAAAAUAAUGAAAGAGGUUAUAUUUGUCGAUAAGUGAAAAAUCAUAUGGAUAUGAUCCUCAUUGUGCAUCUUGAUCAAUUGGAUCGUUUCUUUGUGGAUUCCUAUACGAAGUGUUUGUAGAUGUGUUUCCGGGUAUUCUUUUAUCAUUUCGUCCAAGAGUAAGAGUUCUUCCAAUUCGAUGAAUUUUUCUAGAAUACUCUUUUCUUGAAUAUCAGUCAAAAAAGUUUCGGAUUGCCUAGUAUUCCACCAAUUAGUAAUCCAAAAUUCAAGACUUUUAUUAAAUGAGAGAGAGAUCCACCAGGGCAAAAAUACUAUAGAUGUAAGAUAUAGAAGAGGAAGAAAUGCUUUCUUUUUUACCAUUUUUUCAUCUUUGAAUUGUUAAUGAAUCCACCUCAUUUGUUGAAUCUAUGUGAUCUACUAUUUCUAUUAACCCUAAGUUCUAUUACAGGGCAUCGGGCCUCGGCCAUGGCCGGCGACCGGCAGUCGAGGGCCGGUGAGGCCGAGCGUCGCCGGCCCUUGGUGAGGCCGACCUCGCGCCGAGCUAGGCGAGCUCGGCCUCGCCGGGCCACUGCCAGGUCGGCAUCGCCUGGCAGUGGCCCGGCGACGCCGAGCCUCGCCAGCCACUGAUUGUCACUUGCUUUUAGUCAUGCAUUCAAAACUGUAAGAUUCAUGCACUAUAAGAUAACCAGACAAGCGAAAAAAUGAUGUGCAUUUCAGUUGAGGUGGCAAGACCAAUUAGAUUGAAUUCAAACCAAAUAAAGCUUGACGCAUAAAAGAGAAAUGUUGUGCAUUGAGCGAAUAUAUGACAAAAUAAGUGCAAAGAGAGUCAUUGAUGUUCUAGCACUUUGGCCAAUUGAGUUCUUAAAAUUUUACUUUGCUUAAUUGAAUCCUUAGCAUUUUCAAUUUUAAUCAAUUGAGUCCCUCAAGCUUGAUCCUCGGAAAUAGCCACAUGGCUAUGAUUUUCCAAGUUGAUAAGAAGAUGCUCGACAAUAAAACCAGGUGAGCCUCUCAAGGGCUUCAUUGGCAUAAUCAUCAGUAUCACUUCGAUUUUUGGGUAUACGUGCUACACCGCACAGAGGUCUAUCAUUUCUUGGAUAUACUUCAUACCUCCCGUAGUGCUACCCGAAACGGUUUUCAUACCUGCAAAAAGUUCAUUGUGAGCAACUUACUUUCUUCACCUAUCAGGUAUCAAUAUUUCAUUCAGUAAUGAGCUUUGAGAACAAAAACAUACCGAGGUUAAGGCUUGCUGCAUUGAAUUUAAUUUCGCUUUGGGACCCAACCGAUGCUAGAACGCCACCCGUCUUCAAAAGAGACAUGUAAGGAUCAAAUGGGUGAUCAGCAGAUACCGUGUCAAUUAUAAAGUCCAGGGACUUAGCCAUGGCUUGCAUGUUACGAUUCAUCAGAUCACGGCAGCACUUGACAUCCAUGGAUCUAAAGUAUUAAUAAUUCAAAAUCUUCCCGUUUACCUUCAUAUGUUCUUGGUCAGAUGAGAUAACGAAAUGGUCAGCACCAAGCAAGCUCAGUGCUUCCUCCUUUUUAGAAAUGCUUGUACUGAACACGGCAACUUUCAGUCCAAAAGCCUUCCCAAGCUUAAUUGCCAUCUGACCGAGCCCACCAAGUCCAAUUACGUCGAAAGACUUACCCGGUUGGUUCAUCUUGUGACGCACCAUUUGAAUGUAUACUGUGAUUCCAUCACAGGGCAAUGGUGCUGCUAAAGCCAACGGGUAGUUUUCUGGAAUCCUAAGGCAAUACCUGUCAAUGAAGCACCACAAUUAAGUUUCCAAAUCAUGUAAUUUUUCUAUUCCCCUCGAUCAUGUCUCUAAGGGACACGAUAUUCCUGUGACUGUUGGAUACAAGAAUCCGUGAAAGCAUAUACAUUUCAUUACCCAUUUGAUCUAACACUUACUAUCUAACUCUUGGGAACAAUCUAAAAAAAGGGAGGAAGCGGAGACAAAAGGCAAGGAUUGAGCAAUUUCCAUCUCUCUCUCUCUCUCUCUCUCUCUCUCUUUUAAUUAAGGGUUAAUAUCCUAAAAAAUCCCAAAUUGGUACACAUGUAACAAAUUUACCUUGACAGACUAUAAAAAACUCUAAACUUAUAUAUUUAUGACAAAUUUACCCCAAACUAAUUUAUUUGACCGCAAAAAAUCUCAAAAUGGUAAAUUUGUAACAAAUAUACCCUUCACUAAAUUGGAUUAAUACCACAAAAAGAUCACAAAAAUUGUAAACCGUGACAAACGGAGCAUGAAAUCUCAAAUUGGUAUUACUAAUCAACUGUCACGUGCCAUUUAACUUAAUAAUUUGACAGUAAAAUUUAAUGAAAACUAAUAGAGGGUAAAUUUGUCACAAGUGUACUAGUUUAGAGUAUAUUUGUCAAAAGUAUACCAGUUUGGAGUUUUUAGUGGUCAAAAAACUAGUUUAGAGUAAAUUUAUCAUAGGUGUACCAGUUUUGAGUUUUUUAGGGUAUUAACCCUUUAAUUAAUUUAGUUUUAAAUUUAAUGUUAUUAAUGUUUCAUGAAAAUUCAUAUGUUAGAUUUAUUGGCUCACAUGUCAUUGUCACUUGAUGUGUAUGAUAUAUAGAAUAGUCCAAGAGUUUUGACUUUAGAUGCUUGGGAACUCGCGAAUGGUCAUACAUUGUCGGUUACACAUUCAAUAUGAUGUAUUAGCUAAUCAUAGUCCUCUAACGGUUUAUAUUUGCUUAAUAUAUUUCAAGAAUAUUCAUUUGUUAGACUUGUCCGCUCACACGCCACUGUCACUCGAUGUAUAUGAUAUGCAGAAUAGUCUAAGAGCUUUGACUUUAGACACUUGGGAGUGUCUAUGCUUGUUUUAUGUCUGUUAUGCUUGCAAUGCUUCUGGUUUUGAGUGGACAGUACAAAUAUUUAAGUCCAUGUCAAUUUGAACAAUUUUCUUUAUUAUAGAGCAACCGUCUUUAAUCUAUUGUGUUCUUGACCACAAAAAACCAAAUAACAAAUAAGUAUUAAUUAUUGUAGGGUCCAACAACAAUCUUUAAUCUAUUGUGUUCUUGACCACAAAAAACCAAUUAACAAAUAAGUAUAAAUUAUUGUAGGGUCCAACAGCAAUCUUUAAUCUAUUGUAUUCUUGACAACAAAAAACUAAAUAAUAAAUAAGUAUACAUUAUUAUAUGGCCCACUCCUUUAAAAAUUUGUUGCUCACAACAACUUAUUUAUUCUCAUAAUAACCCAAAGUUAUGCUAGCAAAGCUCUUUUGAGUAAGUGUAUUGAAAGUUUUAAAAACUUGUCACUAAAGUGCAUUAAGUCCUGAAACUUUCAAAAAAUACAAUUUAAUCCUAAAAUUUGUCACGAAAUGCAAUUGAGUCUUAAAAUUUUCAAAAAGUAAAAUCAAUUAUAAAGAUUUAUCAAUAUUAUAAGGGACAAAACCAAAAGCUGCAUGCAAUAAAUCAGACAAAAUUCAUUAAUUUAUGACCAUCAAGCAAGCGUCAGACAUUAGCAAAUGAAUGUAUUAGCAAUCGAAAAUACAUCGAAAACAAAAAGUUAAAAGCUCAUAUCUACCUUUCAUUCUUAUGCUUUGUAAGCCCCUCUGACCUUAGUGACCGCAAGGAUUUUACUGUGGACUCAAUGAGAUCCAUCUCAAGCUCCACCCUUUCAUGUGUCCAGCACUGAAGCAAAAGGAAAAUCGCAAUAAUGCGAUGAGGAUGAAACUAACCCAUUGAAUUUCUGAGUAAUCCAUCAAGUACAAGUUACCCAUCAUUCGGCCACUAAGCUCCUCCACUAUGGCCCUCAAUUGCUGGAUGCUUACUACGAGCGCUUCAUCCCUUCGUAUGAAGUCAACAUUUCUUUGAUUCACACUUUCUUUGCAUGACAUAUUUUAAACCUACAAGUAAACGUUAGUCACAAAAAUCCUCACCAAUUGCUCCCUCACGUGUUUCUCUCAAUGUGUUUGUCACUCCCCUCGUGUUUAACUCAAAUUUAGGCUUUUUCCCUCUCGUAUUCUCUUUUCACAAGUUCUUUAUUGGACUCAAAAUCAGUCUCUCAGCCCCCUCACGACAAUCAAUCAAAAUAAUCAAACAAGAUUAGAUUACUAUUAAUUUUGUUUCAGCAAGUAACAAUUUCAAACCAACAAGUAUAACUUUCGAAAUUCUAAUUGAAACGCAAAUCACUACUGAUUUUGUUUCAAUUCGGUCCACAGUCGCCUUCUUGAUUUUUUUUUGUUCAGCUUUUUUUUUCUGCUGAAUCUUUUUUUUUUCUCUAGCGCACUUUUUUUUUGUGUGCGUUUUCUUUCUCUUCUUUUUUUUUUUUUACGAACUUUCUUUGUUUUUUUUUCUUUCUUUUUUGACAAACUCAGAUACAAUUUAAGAUGAUAGGAAAAAAAAUAUUAAAACUAACAGCAAACAAUUACGUAUGGAAGCACAAAAGUAAUCAGAUCCCUAAAUUGGCUAGAACCGAAACCCUAACUCAAUAAAUCUCAAAUUGCUGAAUAUAAACAGAAAAUUAAAGAUAAAUAGACAUUGUAGAAGUAAGCUCUGAUACCAAAUGAUGUCAAUCGUUGUGGAAAAAUCAUUCUACGAAGGCCUGGAUGGUGCGAAUUGCAAACCUCGACCUCCAAUCAAACCUGUGAUUGAUAACCUCGAUAUGAACGUGAUCAAACCUACGAUUGAGAACCUCGGUAUGAACGUGACCUAUUGACAAACGCAUGUCAACCAACCAAACCCACGAGCGAAAGAAUAAGGUUAAGUUCUCAAAAAAUAGUAGAAAAGAAUCUCUCAACUUUUUUCAUCCAUAUAUAUAUAUAUAUAUAUAUAUAUAUAUAUAUAUUGACUUGGUCAAAUAUUUGAUGAUCAGAUAAUCAAAUUGUGCAAAGAUUUCUAAGAUUCUUCAAGAUUUAAUCCAAAGCCAUCUCUACGCCGAAGAUCAUGAACCAUGACGCUAACAGCUUACUUGAAUUGCUUGGCUCGUGCUCGAGUAAUUGAACCAGUAGGAAUAGACAAUGGGUCUCUAGCACCACCUCAUCGAUAUGGCUUGAUGUCCACAUCAUAAUGCAUGCGAAGGAACAAGCCGAUUGCCACUUGAUGUUAGUCAUUCAUGCAAAACUGUAAGAUUCAUACGCUAUAAUAUAGCCAAACAAGCAACCAAAAAAAAAAAAUAAAAAAUAAAAAACUAAAAAAAUGAUCUGCGUUGCACUUGAGGUGGCAAGGGCAAUUAGAUUGUAUUGAAACUAAAUGAAGUCCGUUGCAUUAAAAAGACAAUCAAAUGAUGCAUUGAUCAAACCUUCUCUUCCUUCUUCUUUUUCCUCUCCAGGUCUUCCACGCCUUCCGACUUGUUAUCCGGUUGAGACUGCACGACCCACAUCGACUCAUCAAUCUGAUCAUUACAAUCAUAGACUUGCCAUUUCCACAGCUAACCCAAUAACUCAAGCUACAAUCAGACGAGCUUCCACCCAAGAAAACAUACCAUUUCGAUGGUUGGUAAGCGUGAGACUGCAACCAAAGUUCGAUUCCGACAAGAGAAAGCACCGGGACAGAUGGUUGAGCUCCGUUUAGAAGUAGACCCAACAGCCGCCGGCGAACAAGGGUGGCGACCGUGACUUCAAAGAGACGACUUGACGGCGACCGAGCUCGGCGGAGGCGAGGGCGGCGGGACUUGUCAGCAGGGAUUUUUCUGACAGUGUCAGACUGGCACGACUCUGACGUUUUUUUAAUUAACUAAAGAAAGAAAUUCGUAAUACGACGUGGGCAGCCCGCAGGAGGGCGAAAUAAGAGUUUCCUGUUCUUAUUUUAUUUUAUUUUUAGCCUUUUCUGCUUAUUAGCAAAUAAAAUUUAUUAAUUUGACACGAACAUAUAGUGGUGUAUUUCCUACUAGUAAUAUAAAUUUAUAGAUUUUAAGGGAAGACUUGGAUCGUAAUUGUCAUUGGAGAGGAAGUGAAUGAUGAUAUAACAUGAGUUAAUAGACGUAAGUGAAAAAUGUCACAAAAGAAAUCGUGUUCCGAUAUUAAUUUUGUCAAUAUAUUGAAAAGGCAACAGGUUUCGUAUUCUUCUGGACAGAAAUGAAAGGUCAAAGGGAAACGAGAAGGACUGAGCAAAUAAAUGACAAAAUAUGAGCAAUGGAAGUCAUUGAUCGUUUGCCGUUUGACUGAUUGGAUUCUAAAUAUUUUAUUUUCAAUUGGGGUCUAAAUAUUUAUUUGGUCCAAUUGACUUCUAAACAUUUCCAAUUUUAGUCAAUCACGUCCCUCGAAUAUUAUUGUCGGAAAGAGCCACAUGGCUGUGAUUUUCCAAGUGGCCAAGGAGAUGCUUGAGGAGAAAACCUGUAGGAGAGGCGAAGCCAUUCAAGCAGAACUCUCAAGAAGCCAAUUUUUCAGACAGUUUCUCAAUCAUCACAUAGAAAAGUACCAGGAUUUCAUUACCCAUUUCACUUAUUUCUGCUAUAAAACUUACGGGUAUCGAAGUAUAUCAGGCAUAGUUUAUUUGUACUCCAGCAGAGAUAGUAAAAAGGCACAGAUGAUGCUCUCCUCUAGCUGAAACUCCCACUUUUCCUCUCUGUGUGAUCAGCUUUGCCAGCAACAAUUUCCAACUUCCCAAAUUGAUGUUCAAAUUUAAUCAAAUAGACUCAGAGAAGAAAACACACGAGAAUUGUUGCUAUAACUCUUGUUACUUUAUUCAUCAAAACAUCCAAAUCACUUAGCAAGAAAAUAGCUAUAGAACAACAACAACAACAAAGACCCACUGACAUACCCCACCGACCAAACAUGUGGAGAAACUAACUCCUACAAAAAAGCCACUUCCUAUUGACUAGGACUCCACUAUUACAUUAUUGAAGACACGUAAAAACUGUAAGUUAACUACUUCAACAAUUGAUGGUGUCACUUCAAGGAGUUCUCAAUGUCGAUCACGAAUCGAUACUUAACAUCUCUCUUGAUGAGCCUCUCCAGAGCUUCAUUGGCAUAAUCAAUCGGUAUCACUUCAAUAUUUGGGUAUAUCUUCUGCGCUGCACAUAGGUCUAUCAUUUCUUGGGUAUCCUUUGUUCCUCCCGUUAGGCUACCUGAAACAGUUCUCAUAUCUGCCAAACGUUCACCACGAGCAACUUAGUUCACCUAUCAGGUAUGAAAUUUCAUUUAGUAAUCAGAUUUGAGAACAAAAACAUACGGUGGUUAAGGCUGGCUGGACUAAAUUUAACUUCGCUCGAGCCGACCAAUGCUAGAAUGCCACCCGUCUUCAAAACAGACAUGUAAGGAUCAAAUGGGUGAUUGCCGGCUGCCGUGUCGAUUAUAAAGUCUAGGGACUUAGCAAUGGCCUGCGUGCAUUGGAUUUAUCAGAUCACAACAGAAUUUGACCACCAUGGAUCUCAAUGUGGAUAAUUCUAGUUUUUCCUUUUUUUACCUUCAUCUGCUCUACGUCAGAUGAGAUAACGAAAUGGUCAGCCCCAAGCAGGCUCAGUGCUUCCUCCUUUUUAGAAAUGCUUGUACUGAACACUGUGACUUUUAGUCCAAAAGCCUUCCCAAACUUAACUGCCAUAUGACCGAGCCCGCCAAGUCCAAUUACACCUAGAGACUUACCGGGUUGGUUCAUCUUGUGACGUAUCAUUGGAGUGUACACCGUGAUUCCAGCACAGAGCAGUGGCGCUGCUAGAUCCAUCGGGUAGUUUUCUGGAAUCCUGAAGCAAUACCUGUCAAUGAAGCACCACAAUUAAGUUUCCAAAUAACACCAAGAGAGGAAGUGAUUUCCCAAUAGAAUCAGCAUCCUGUCUUUUUUGUCUAAAAGGAAUCAAAUCACAGAGCCAGAAAUCCUAUCUUCCGCAUGCUUGGGAAUGUUACUUGCUUAGACCACAAUUCAGCAUCAUGUUGUUUCCGUGAUCCUUGUUCUGACCACAAAUUGCUCAAGACAAACAUUUCUUGCUGUAGCAACGAAAAUAACUCGAUUAAAAUUAAGAAAAGACACUUGCUCUAAGAAAGGAAACUGGUGGCAUAUCACAUAUGCUUGACUGAACACGUAAUUUCUCUAUUUCUUUCAAUCAAUUCCUCCGAAGGACUCAAGAUUCCUGUGGCUCUAUCAGAUACAAGAAUUAGUGAAAGCACAUACAUUUAGCUACCCAUUUGAUCUUAUACUUAUGAUCUAACUUUAACAAUCUAAGGACAGCUUAUUCCAUUCUUGACAAUGGUUAUUGAAAAGAAAGAAUUUCUUUUUGCAUUUAAUAAAGCCAAUUCUCCAUUGAAUGGUCUGAAUGGUAAUUGGAUACAGAGGACUUAAAGACCCUCCAGAGCCGUUAUAGAAAGUAUCUUUAUCCUUUUCCACAAGAUGCAUUAUGCUACUUCUGGUCACAAUCAGAAUACGAAGAAAAUUAGCAGAGAAGAAGACAUGACAUGAAAUCUUUUUUUGGCCACCAUGAUUUGAAAUUCUUUCACAGUGCAAAAUGCUGCCUAAUAACAUUGUGUUAAUAAGCAAUUACCUUUCAUGGACGACAAUGUGACUAGAAUAUCCUCCCUUUGUCACUGUACCGUCCGUAUCGAUUCGGUCAAAAGUCAAAACCAUCUUUUCACAAUGGACUUCUAGCCCGUCAUUGCAAUACUCGCACUCUCUGCAUGAAUUGACAUAAGUUCCCACACCCACAUGAUCGCCAACUUUGAAGCGUUGGACACUGGAGCCAACCUGUUUCACAAUUCCAACUAUCUCGUGCCUGAAUCAAUCAAAAAAGUCAUUCGCAAAUUUUGUUCAGAGAAUUAUUAGGAUGGUGCUAAGAAAAAAGAUUAACAUUCGAAUCACGCUGCAUCCUACCCUGGCACCAGAGGAUACUUGGAGGUUCCCGACAUAUUCCUAGUCCAAGCCACAUCUGCAUAGCACACUCCGCAGUGCGUGAUCCUAAUCGAGACGUCAUCGCUUCCCACGGUCCUAAAGAGAGAAUUCCCAAACAGAUGAGCAUCUAAUCAAGCAACUAAUCAGACUCAGUUACCUUUUGUUCUCAUUUUUCAGAUCAAUAAACUAAGCGUGACUUACAAUAAUCAUACAUUCAACCCAAAAAAAAAUUUAAGAAAAGAGAAAUGAAAAGGAACCAAAUCCAUGACUAUAGGCAUUUGUCUGAAUAGUACAUACAACCUCAAAUGCUCACAAAGGCAGCACCCGAAUCCUAAUGUCUGCCAUGAAGUUCUAAGCAACUCAUUCUGGGACAUGACAUAUCAUGCGUACAAACAAUUCUCUACCCAGAAAUUAGUGCAUACACAACAAAAUUUAUAAAAGAAAAACGAAAUGGUUUGGUCAAUGUGGAAAUUUAAAUAUAUGACAAGCAUCAAAAACUGUUUUGCAUUACAGGUGAGAGGAUAAGACCUGAGAACACUGUAUUGAGACUUAUUCAGACAAAUACUUCAAUAGAAAUUGAAAGUAUAAGGAGCAGAUGAAUUAAAUAAAGAACAGUGGUAACAGUAAUACCUGCGGCUGAAUUUGUAGGGGGAGAGACGUCCAGAAGGAUCUCUGGCAGCCCAACCAAGACAAUCUUCCUUCGCACCCUCUGAACUCAUCGUUCCUCACCGACCUCAACUGAAAUCGACCCACAAAAAAAUUGCUGUGUUAAUCUCUCAAUAAGCUGAAUUAUGGAAGAAGAAGAAGAAUUAUUUUCGUGAAAGAGAAAUGAAGAGAAAAUCAAACCGGAAAACAGAAGUUCAAAUGGUCAAAAGGCCAAAUGUCACGAAGACUUGGCAAUUCCGUUUCCGUGCAGACAAGAUUUUGCGGUCUGACUUUUGAGCAAAGAGCGAGAUUAGCAGAGAGCGAGGUUGAGCGCUCAAAAACCGUCACCUCUUUAUAGAUGCCAUAGCGUCGCCUGUUCUUGAUUUUUUUUUUCGUUUUAUCUUGUGGAAAAGAAUUAGUGCCAAACGUAAGCCAUUACCCUUCACUAGCCAAUGAAGUAUGCAGUGACGUCUUCUGGAGUACGGUUCUUGGUAUUUUUAUUUAUCCUCCCAAUAACAAUUGCAUUAUUAAUUUAUUCACACAUUAAAUAUGUCAAUAGGCAACAUGUUGACGCAUAAAAUAUGUCAUGAUCCUCUAGUGGUAUGUAUUCGAUUCAUCUAUUUUAAGAAUAUUCACCUUCAUCUAUUUUAAGAAUAUUCACCUUCUUCAAAGAUAGUGUUAGUAUAUGCGGAAACAUGUGUUUGAUAUGUAUGCAAGCAAAAGAACUAAGGGACAAUGUGAGCAAGAAAUAGUGGGACAAAGUAAUAAUAGGAAUGUGUAAAAGAGAAUGAGGCUGAGGCGGUGAAGGAGAGAAACUUGAAUGGAAGUCAACAAUAGUGGCUGAAGAAGAAACUAGUAUGUGGACAGCAAGAGUACUUGGAGAAGAAGAAAAUGAGUUGUCAGCUGUACUAUGGCCUAUGGCGGUGAAAAAGUCAAAAAUGUCAUGCUUGAAGUCGGUUGUAAUUGCCUAUAAAUAGGCUUGUCGUUCAUUUAUUUGGUGUGUGUGAGGUGAACCCUUCACCUUGUGUGGGGGUGAACCCUCCACUGUGAGAGGUCUUAAACCUCCGCUAGGACCAUAUGGAGAGUGACUAUUCAACACCUCCAUCAAAUUAUUUUGUCUUCUUCAAUAAGUUCUUGACAGCUGGAGUUUGAUGAAGAAACUUUGCUUCAUGCUUUCCGCUACUUGCUAUUUCCGAUGCACGUAGACUUCUCUAGCCUAUUCUAGGAUUUCUUCUUCAACUUGGGGUUUGCUUGCUUGUAUUCCCAUGUGAAUCUUCUAGGUUCAGCUAGCAACCACCAUUCUCAACAAUUCUAGACAAUCUUCAACAUGGAUGUUGCUACCAACGUUCUCGCCUUCAUGAUUAAGUUAAUAGUUUCUAAACAGUUUUAGAGAAAAUGGAUCAUAAUUUUCAACAUAUAGUAUUUUGGAGAGAAAAGUAUUUCAGCAGAAUUGUUCAAGGAUUUACAGAUCACUACAAUAUCACCGGAAGCAAAUAAUUAUCCAUCAUUGACAUGAACGAUAUAGCAAAAAUUCUUUUACUUGUUUACCUUAAGUUUAGCAAGAUCUGCUUAAACGACAACCUUGAGUAUCUUCAAUUCCCUUUCUCUUGCCUUCAAAAAGAUAUUGAAAUGCAACGCAGAAUCAAGACAGAUUGUCAUUAACAAAGCUGUAAAAGCCUACUCAAUCUGGCAAAAUUGGGGACAGUGUUUUCCAGCGAUCUUGACUACCUCGGUAGCUGCUGUGCAAAUGGAUAGGAAUGCAUGCAGAGGGACAAGCUGAUUGUUACCUACUUUUAGUCAUUCAUUUGAAACUGUAAGAUUCAUGUGCCAUAAGAUAGCCAAACAAGCGGGCAAAAAAUGAUGUGCCUUGCACCGAAGGUGGCAAGAGCAAUUAGAUUAAAUUCAAACCAAAAAAAGCUUGAUGCAUAAAAUGAAAAGUCAUCCAUUGAGCAAAAAAGGGUGCGUUUGGUAAGGUUUCUGUUUAAAAAUUGUUUCUGGGAACAUAAAUAAAAAAAAGUGUUUCUGUUCCAAGGAACAAGUUUUGAACAAAAAAACGCAUUUGGUAAAUCUGUUCUAGAAAUAUAAAAAAAAUAGAAACACGUUUGGUAAGUUUGUAUAUUUUUUUUUAUUUCUUUUAAUUUUUAAUAUUUUUAUUUUUAUUUUCUAUUUUCUUUCUUAUUUUUCUUAUUUAUUUUUCCUUUUUUUCUUAUUUAUUUUUCCUUUUUCCUUUUUUCUUCUUUUGGCCGGUCGCCGGCCUCGGCCAUGGCCGACGACCAGCCGACAAGGGCCGGCGGCCUCACCCAGCCAUGGCGAGGCUCGCCGGCCGCUGGGCGAGCUCGGCCUCGCUAGAUCUGGGCGAGAUCGAGCUCGCCCAGCCAGGCGCGAGGUCGGCCUCGCCGCGCUGUGCCGACGGUGACCCAGAGCCACACCAUCGUCUCCCUCCACCGCAUCGGUGACCGCGCUCGACGCCUCCUCGCCGCCACCGGAUCGGCGACCACCCCUCCGCCUCACGCCCGAUUGACGCAUCUGCAGGUCUCGAGCCUUCGUUCACCACCGCCACAUCAGAUCUCACCACGCCGUGACCCACGGCUUCGAGAUCCGCUCGAUCGUCGACCCCGCGCCGGCCCACGACUCGACCGGCCGUCCUCGCCGCUCCGCUCCUAGACGUCCGCCGCUCGAGACCCCACGGCCGAGCCCCGCACCGCAGCCGCCGCCGCCGCCCAGCGACCCGCGACCCAGCUCCGUCACCCGCUCACAGGUGGAGAUGCUCGCAGCGGCUGUCGGCGCCGGAGAGGACGACGGUGGAGAAGCCGGAUGGUCUCGAGACAGAGGCGGCUGUCGGCGCCGGAGAAGACGACGGUGGAGACACUUGCAGAAGGAGAGGCUCGCAGGAGAACACGAUUUUGUUUCUUUUUUGUUCUUCAAAUAUGUUUCAGAAAUAAGAAAUAAGAAAUUCUUGUUUCUUAUUUUUGUUUGUUUCUUAUUUUUGUUCCCUUUUUGUUUCUAGGAACAAAAAAACAAAAAAGAAACAGAAAUGCACCCAAACGCGUUUCUGUUCCUUUUUUGUUCCCAGAAACAAAAAAAUAGAAAUUUUUGUUCGUGGGAACAGAAACACGGUGCAAACAAACGCGCCCUAAAUGACAAAGUAAGUGCAAUGAGAGUCAUUGAUGUUCACGCCAAACGUAUGCCAUGACCAUUCCUUAGCCGAGAGAAUGUAAGCAGCGACAUCUUCUAGAUAGUGGUUACUGGCAAUUUUUUUUUUUUUUAUCCCCGGCCUGAUCAAAUUAUCCGAGUUAUAAACUCAGAAAGAAGUUAAUGAGCAAUCUACCGCUAGGACCUAUGAAGGGUCAUAUGUUGUUGGUUACACAUCGUGUUGGAAUAUAAUAUACGGAAAUGAAAAGAUCUUGCAAUUUACGUCAACGUGCAAACUCCAGAAAAAUAAAUGAGAAAUAAUAAGAACACCAUAACUUUACGUGAUUCGGUCCGAGUAUUAGUACCUACAUUCACGGGAGAGUUAGCAACAAAUAACCCACUAUAAUAAAAAAAUCAGAGUUUACAAUCGCUCACAUGCUUGAGUAUUUUCUACACCUAGAUUUCAACUCAAGAGUUUAUAAAUAAACAACUCAUUUUAACAUAAAUUCACGACAUAAAAUUACCACUCGUUCAAAAACAAAAUGCUCUACGUACGCCAAAAACAAGAAUUCCAGCAUUUAUCUUUUGGUUCGCGUAGAUACGGAUUUGUGUUCUUCUUUGCUUGAUCGUGCGGCGCUAUUCUAGACGUUCCUUUUGGCUCUUUCUUCUUCGUAGGGCUUCAGUAACUUUUUCUAUAAAAAAAAAAAAGGACGUUCUAUUUUAUAUAUGUGCCUAGAGUCAACAACUUUGACUCUGGGCCCACCAUGUGCUUCUUUCUUCAGUGGGAAGUGGGACGCUGCAGGUAAGGCGAAGAAACCUUCCUUUUAUUCAUUUUUCUUCAUAUUUCCUUUAUUUUAUGGGAUAUGUUUGGCAGAAGUCCUAAAACUUGUCCAGAAAGUGCAAUUGAGUCCUAAAACUUACAAAAAGUUCAAUCAAGUCCUAAAACUUGUCAAAUUGGUUCAAUUGAGUCCUAAAGUUAACACCGUUAAGAAAAUUAACAGAAAUUGCUGACGUGGCGCUGACGUCAUAUUUUAAAUGAUCUUUUUUAUUUUUCAAAUAGCUUUUUUAAAUUAUUUUUAUUCAAAAUCUUUAAAAAUUAGAUUAAAAACUAAAAAGGAAAAUCUAAAUUUAUUAAAAAAACAAAAUUGUUCAAAAAAAAAAAAAGAAAAAAGGGCGGUGGACUUUCGCCGCUGCCCAUCGCCGAAGGGGCCGGCGAUCGUCGCCGGCCCUGGGCGGGGGCGAUGGUCGCCAUCCCUUGCCUGGGGCCGAGCAACCGUCGCCCGCCUUGGGCGAGGCCUCGUCGGCCCUCGCUUGGGGUCGGCGAGGCUCGCUAGAUCUGGGCGAGCCUCGCCCUCGCCAGCCACCCCUGCCCAGGGCCGACAACUGUCGCUCGGCCCCUUCGGCGAUGGGCGGCGGCGGCGGCGGCGGCGGCAGCGGCGGCGGGGAGAAGAGGGCUGCUUUUUUUUAAAACAAUUUUAAAAAUAACUUUUAUAACUUUUCUUUUUAAUUUUUAGAUAAAAUGAAUAAAUUUAAUUUUUUAGUUUUAAUUCUUUUUUUAAAAAUGAAUAAAAAUCAUUAAAAAAAUCCACGUGGAAAAUAAAAAAUAAUUAAAAAUGAUACGUCAGCAUUUUUAACAGAAAAAGCUAACGGUGUUAACUUUAGGACUUAAUUGAACUAACUUGACAAGUUUUAGGACUUGAUUGAACUUUUUGUAAUUUUAGGACUCAAUUGCACUUUUUGGACAAGUUUUAGGACUUCUGCUGAACAUAUCCCUUAUUUUAUAUAUGUUGUGUGCCUAAAGUCAAGACUUUUGACUUUGGGCCCACAUAAAUAACCUUGUUUGGCUCCCGUAGAUAAAGAAGAAACUUUGUUCUUUUUAUUAUUAUUAUAUUUUCUUUCCUCUUUCGUAAACCUUCACAAAGUCCAACAAAGCUUCUUCUAUUGAUCGAAACAAUCAAAGACCCAAAAAGAAUUUCGAAUUUAUUUUCUUGUGCAUAAUCUUGAAUAUUAUCUUUAUCAGAAAAAUAUCUUCACGAUCAAAUAAUAAAAUUUUUAUCCAAGCGGAUCGCAUUUUGCAAAUACUCAAACUCGAGACAUAAUUUAACACAUCCGACAUGAUAUACUGCCCAAUUACUAUCCUCUGACAAUUUAUAUUUGAUUAAUCUAAUUCAAGAAUAUUCAUUUGUUAGACUUGUUGGCUUACACGCCACUGUCACGUGAUAUAUCCUAUAUUGAGAAUACUCAAUGAGCUUUGACUCUAGAUACUUGGGAGCAUCUAUGCUUGUUUUAUGUAUGUUAUGCUUGUGAUGCAUCUUGUUUUGAGUGGACUGUAGAAAUAUUUAAGUUCGUGCCAAUUUGACUAAUUUUUUAUCUGGAUAAGUGCAUUGGAAGAUUUAAAACUUAUCAUAAAAAUACAAUUAAGCCAUGAAACUUUGAAAUCAAGUUCUAGAACUUGUCACAUUGGUCUAAUCUAAAUCCUACCAUUGCAUUUUUGAAAAUUUCGGUACUUAACUGCAAUUUUCUAACAAGUUUUAGUAUUUCCAAUAUACUUUUUUUUUUUCAACCUCAGUAAUGUUUUUAAGCAACAAUGAGCUUGACAUAUCUCUGUUUUCGGAAUUUCAGUGGCUAUAGGAAACAAAAGGACGUCCUCUAAUGAAUCAACAAUCUUCUGCCAUGACAAAGCUGGAAGAGAGAUGAGUGUCUUCCAUAGUUAUAAAAAAUGUUCAUGCAAUAAUCUGUAGGAAUUCGUCUUCCUGACGUGCAUGAACAUUUCCGGCCAUGAAACAUUUCACGGUGAAGACAUUCUGUCACUUAAACCGGCAAAAGGAUAUCGAGCUUGUUCUUUUGGCGAGUGUAUUGCCGUCAAAUAUGCCUGAUUAAUUCCACGACUAUUAGCAUUUGUUUAAAUAGAGCAUACAACCUAAAAUGCUCACAAAGGUAGCUGGUACUGGAUCCUCAUGUCUGCCCAUGAAAUUCUGAGUGCCUCAGACAUGGCAUAUCAGGCACACAAACAAUUCUCAACCCAGAAAUUAGUACGUACACAACAAAAGUUUAAAAAAAAAAAAAUUGGUUUGGUUAAUGUGGAAAUUUAACAUCAUGACAAGCAUAAAAAACUGUUCAGCAGUACAGUAGAGAGGUCAAGACCUGAGAACACUGUAUUGAGACUUAUUCAGAUGAACACUUCAGAUAGUCACUGAAAAGCUAAGGAGCAGAUGAAUUGAAUAAAGAACAAUGGCGAUGAUAAUACCUGCGGCUGAAUUUGUAGGGGGAGAGAAGUCCUAGAAACCGUCAUAGAUGCCAUAGCGAUGGAUGUUCACGAUUAAUCUUUGAGCUUACUAUUGUGGAAAAGUAUUAGUGAUUCGCCAAACGUAACCCAUGACCCUUCCUUAACCAAAGAACGCAUGCAAUGACAUCUUCUGGAGAGCGGCUCCUGGAAUUUUUCCAUCCACAACCUAAUUGCAUUAUCAACCUACUGACACAUAAAAGAUGUCAAUAGGCAAUGUGCUGUUGCACCACUGGACCCGCAAAUGGUCAUCAAUGUCGGUUAUACCGCCAAUAAUUUGUACCUGACCCUUCAUAGUCGUAUUAUUCGAUUAAUCUAUUUAAAGAACAUUCAUUUUCUUCAAACAUGCUUUCUCACGUGCCACUGUAAUAUGAUGUUUUUGAUACACAAAAUACUAUCUCUUCAAGAGCUUUGACUCCUAUAUACUUGGGACAUUAAAUUGUUUUAGCAACAAUGAGCUUGGGAUAUCUCUGUUUUCGGGAUUUCAGUUGCUAAGGGAAACAAAAAGGACGUCCUCUAAUGAAUCGACGGUAUUUUGCUAUAACAAACCUGGAAGAGAGAUGAGCGUCUUACAUAAUUACAAAAAAAUGAUCACGCAAUAGUUGGUAGAAAUUUACUCUGCUGACGUGCAUGAACAUUCUGAACAAAAAACGGAAAACAUGCAUGAACAUUUCCGGCCAGGAAGCAUUCACGAGGAGCUGAGAGACACUCUAUUUCUUAAAGCAGCAAAAUGAUUACGAGCUUGUUCUUUUGGUGAGUGGAAUGAAUAAAUUGUUCAAAAAAUCCUAAACUUAUUGUCCGACCACUAAUUUAAUUCUAAACGUUUUAAUUUGAUCAAUGUUGUCUAAAACUUUUGACAAUUUUUUGUAGUCCACCUAGUUAAAUUUAGGUCGAAAAUCAGUGAUGAAGCAAUUUAGUAAACACUAGCUGUUUUAAGUGAUACAACCGAUAGCUGAUAUAGAUGAUCUUAAAUGAUGUGGCGUCGUUUCACAAUUUUUUAAUAUUCUUUCUUUUUCUUUUUUAGUAAUUUUUUUUCCUAUUCUUUCGUUCUCUAGUGUUCAUUUUCUUCCCUCUGCCGGUGGCCGAUGCCUCAGCAAUGACCGGCGACCAUCAUAGGCUACAAGUGAGGGCAUUGAGCGAGACUUGCAAGCCUUCUCCUAGAUUUGGGCAAGGGCCCUAUAGGCCCUCAUUGGCCGUAGGCAAGGUUGGGGACUUGCAAGCCCUUGCCUAGAUCUACCCUCUAAUGGGGUCAAUGCCUGCCAUCACCAAAGCCUCAAUGUCUUGCUCUGGAAAGAAAAUGAACAGCAGAGAAGGAGACAAUAGGAAAAGAAAGAAAAAAGAAAAAGAGAGGAAAGGAAAAAGGGAAAAAAUCUGAAAAUAAUAACAAAAAAUUGCAAAAUGACGUUGUUUCAUUUAAGAUCAUCCAUGUCAAUUGCCAAUCAUGCAACGUGGCCUACCUUGUUGGAUGUAGUAGAUUUAGGAUAUUUUGAAUAUUUUUCUCCUAUUAAAUAUGCCCGGUUUAUUUGAUAUCCUAAAAUUUGUCAACUUUGUGAAAUCAAGUUCUAAAAUUUGUUGGCACUCUUUUCAUAUUGGAUGAAGUUAAUGAAAUGACUUGAUUACAACUACUUGGUAAGUUUUAUGACUUGAUUGUAAUUUUUGAAAAUUGUCGGACUCAAUUGCAUCUCUAUAAUAAGUUUUAAAACUUGAUUACGCUAUCUAAAAAUUUUAAGAUUUUCAAUAUACUUAUCCCUAAAAUAAAAUAAAAAGGGCCUACCCCCUUUACAUGAACUCUUUAAUUUAAACGCACCAUGGAAUUUCCUGUCCUUUUACACAAUUUCAUUAACUAAGAUUUUAUUUUAUUUUUUGGGUUAAAACCAAGAUUUAGUUCUUCUUCUUCUUUUUUUUCGGACCAGCCAAGAUUUAGUUCAAAGAUAGAUAUUUUGAGGAGAAAAAAAUUUCAGCAAACUAUGCAAGGAUUUGCAAAAGAUCGCAACAAUAUUACCGGAAGCAUAUAAUUAUUUAUCACUGACGAAUGAUAUAGUAAAAAUUCUUUUAGAAGUUUACCUUAAGUUUAGCAAGAUCUGCUUAUUCGGCAGCCUUGAGUUUCUUCGAUUCCUUCUCUCUUGCCUUCAAACAGAUAUAGAAAUGGCAACGCAGAAUAUCAAGAUAGAUUGCCAUUGACAAAGCUGUAAAAGCCUACUCAAUCGAGCAAAACUGGGACAGUUUUUCCAGCAAUCUUGACCACCUCCGUAGCAUGCCGUGGAAAUAGAUAGGAACACAUGUAGAGGGACAAGCUGAUUAUCACUUGCUUUUAGUCAAGCAUUCGAAACUUUGAGAUUCAUGCACUAUAAGAUAGCUAGACAAGCAAAAAAAAUGAUGGGCAUUUCAGUUGAGGUGUCAAGAGCAAUUAGAUUGAAUUCAAACCAAAUAAAGCUUGACGCAGAAAAGAGAAAUGUUGUGCAUUGAGCGAAUAUAUGACAAAAUAAGUGCAAAGAGAGUCAAUGAUGUUCUAGCGCUUUGGCCAAUUGAGUUCUUAAAAUUUUACUUUGCUUAAUUGAAUCCUCGGCCUUUUCAAUUUCAGUCAAUUGAGUCCCUCAACCUUGAUCCUCGGAAAUAGUCACAUGGCUAUGAUUUUCCAAGUUGAUAAGAAGAUGCUCGAGAAGAAAACCGGGUAGGAGGUGAAAUGGGACCUAAGUGCAAGUUUUACUAUUUCAGUAACUACAAUUGAUCUGACAGAAGGUUGAACUUUCAUGGAUCUGGCACUUCGUUUGAAGCUAUACAAACAGAAAUCAGCGGGCUCAAGAAGCCAAUCUUUUAGACAGUUUCUGAAUUAUCACACAGAAAAGCACUAGGAUAUCUUUACACAUUCACUUAUUAUAUCCUCUAUAAACUAACAGUUAUUAGAGUAUAUUAGGCAUCAUUUAUUUGUAGUACAUUAGGUACAGAUGUCCUCUCUCUGAAAUUCCCUCUUUUCCUCUUCUUACGAUUAGCUUUGCCAGAAGAUGUUUCCAACUUCCGACAUUGAUGAUGUCAUUUCAAGGAGUUCUCAAUGUUUAUCACAAAUCGGUACUUAACAUCUCUCUUGAUGAGCCCCUCAAGGGCUUCAUUGGCAUAAUCGAUCAGUAUCACUUCGAUUUCUUGGUGUAUGUGCUGUGGCGCACAGAGGUCUAUCAUUUCUUGGAUAUACUUCAUUCCUCCAGUAGCGCUACCCAAAACUGUUUUCAUACCUGCAAAAAGUUCAUUGUGAGCAACUUAGUUGGCUUGCCUAUCAGGUAUCAAUAUUUCAUUCGGUAAUGAGCUUUGAGAAUAAAAACAUACCAAGGUUAAGGGAGGAAGUACACUAAUGGUGCCAUAAGUUAUGUACGGCGCUCACUUUGGUGUCAAAAAUUUUUGUCGGAUCACUUAAGUGCCAAAAAUUUUGAAAAACGAUCACUUUGGUGCCAUCGUCGAUUUGGUUGGUCGGAAAUCUGACGUGACAAUUUUUUAUUAAUUUUUUAUGCCGACGUGGAUCGUCGGAUAAUACAAUCAACAAACAAAGAACAAAACGAUGCCGUUUACCAUUUUCCCCCAAAUAAAAACCCCUAAAUCCCUAAUUUCGACUAGAACUGGAAGUUGAAAACCCUAAAUCCCCAAUUCGACCAUUUCGAGUGCAUAUUUCGAUUUUCUGCCAAAGUUAUCAACUUGCUUUUGCAAAUGGAGGACAAAAGUUUCAACAGUGGCUCGCAUUCCUAUAAGAAAAGCGAAUUAGAUGGUGAGUGUUACUGUUAUUGUGGGUUACCGAGUCCGAGAAGAAUAUCUUGGACUUGGUUGAAUCCCGGGAGAAGAUUCCAUGGGUGCGGCAGAUAUAGAGAAAGCUCGAAGUGCCAUUAUUUCAAAUGGGUUGAUAGGAAAUUCUCUAAUCGAGCGACAUAUGUGAUAUUGGAGUUACUUGAAGGCCAAAAUCAACCUCCAUCUAUGUUAAUGGACGAGCUGGGGGAUGUCGACUCAAUACAAGCUCAAAUGAAGGGUUUAACAUCUCUGAUGGACCAUUUGAAGAGAGAGGUUUCAAGGCUGAAAAUUGAAAGAAACUUUAUCGAGCGUUGAUUGUAUUCUUAUUCUCUUGGGUAGUUUAUUCAAAUGUAAAGUGAGUAAUGAGAAGAAAUUUGUAUGUCUACCAUAGUCGAAGACGUGGAAUAUGCACUUGUAUUGGAUUAUUUAUAAGUAAAAUGUGUUUUUUGGUUUGUUGCAAUUUUUAUAUAGAGCAGAAUGUUUUAUUGUUGUAAUCUAUAGGUAGAAAUGUAAGGUUGGACUUGGAAUGCAUUAGUUGUGAGCACUUAAAAAGUUUUGUUGUUUAGUUGUGUAUUGUCAAUGUUUGUUUUUGUUAGUUUUUACUUCAAAUAUAAUGGUUUACUGCAUUUUUUAUUUGGUAAUAGUUUGCUGCAUUGAAAGCAAACGGUAAUGGUUUGCUGCAUUUUUUAUUUGGUAAUGAUUUGCUGCAUUGAAAGCUUUUGAUAAUGGUUUGCUGCAUUUUUUUUAUUUGGUAAUGGUUUGCUGCAUUUUUUAUUUGGUAAUGGUUUGCUAGUUUGCUGGUUUGCUUCAACUGUUAAACCAUGGCUGAAUGGCCGAAAUUAAAGAAUGGUGCCAAAUUCACGAUUGAUCAUUUCAGUGCCAUAAGUUGUAAAUAGUGAUCGCUUAAGUACCAAGUUUUUAUAGAAGUGAUCAUUUAAGUGCUAGUCGCAAUUACAAAGUGAUCACUUAUGUUGCACAAGUUUUUUAAAAAAUAACAUGUUAGUGCCAAACGUCACAUUCCAAAUGCACAGAGUUCUUGCACCAGUUGAGUUGCUGGUGCAUCUUCUUGCACCAACCCAUACAGAUGUCGAUGCAACAAGAUGUACCAGCACCCAAAGUGCUCUUGUAGCAGCACAUAUAAUCAGAACCCCACAAAUUCAUUAUAAUCCACAACUUUAACCAACAACAGCAACAUUGCAGCAACAACAACAUUGCAAUAACAACAAAAAUAAAAUAUAUAGCAUAACUAACUUGCUAGCAUUCUAGCUAAAACCAACACAAGAGAAAAUGAAAAGUCAUUCCAGUACUUGCCAUUAACAUUGCUUGAUUGUUUACAAAAUACAAAAUACAAAAAAAAAAAAAAAAAACAUGUCUAACUUCACUCCCUAAUCAUCAAAAGUUCAGCACUUUCCUAAAAAAAAACAAUGGCAAUAUGCAAGCAGCAACUACCAUUGAUGAUAUAAUAUCCAGCACACUCCUAAAAAAAGAAAACAUGGAAAGAGACCAUGUCUAGCAUCACAUAAAAAGAGACCAUGUCCAACACCCUCCCAUCAGUCAAUAUUGACAACACCCUGAUCUCUUUUUCUUAUUAGAGCUUUGAAUUGAUUCAUAAUCCGAGCACUCUUUCGAACUGGAUGUGCAGGUUCUUAACUGGGCUUUCUGUCACCUCAUUUUCCUUUUCCUUGUUUUUUACGGCAGCUAUUUUUGUUCUAGCACGUAUCAUGUGUUGGUCCAUAUCAUCACUACUGCUCCCAAUCGUUGGUUGAGAUGGAACUAGUGAUGGGUUCUUUUUGGAUGGCUGUUUCGCAGCUAUACCCACUGUCUUCUUCUUCUUCUUCUUUGGAGCACUCUUCUUUGGAUGCGCCCUUAAUUCUUGAGUUGGCCCACCUUGAGAGAGAAGUACCUCUGAAGUUCUCCCAGGCUACAAGAACAUAAUGAUAUUGUCAACCAAAUGAAUUGAAGUACAACAAAUUAAAUGCAUAAGGCCUAUAAAUUUUACAUUCAAAAUAGUCAUUCCAGUACGUUCAUCUGUGUAAAUCCCAUAACCAUAUUGCCUUAAUUUUUUUCCAAGAGCCCCUUUUGUUCGCUGUGAUGCAUCAUUUUCAGCAACAACAAUCUGAUAUUGCUAGUAUGAGUACCUAGAGGGGGGUGAAUAGGUAUAUAAAGAGUUUUUCUCAAGCAAUUGCACAAUACUAGACAGUUGGAUGAAACGAUAAUCAAAGUAAGACUGAGAGAAGAGAAAAUUUAAUACGCGGUUUAUAGUGGUUCGGCUUAUAUCAAGCCUACGUCCACUCUUCUUCACUGACAGCCUAUUGGCUGGAUUCCACUAUGAACAAGAGAGAGGUUACAGCACAGCUUUGCCUUGAUUCCACAGUGUAGAUGUUCUACUACACCUCCUCAAGAUUUCUCACAAAUAUAGACUCUCUCUUUCGUAUACAAGUAUUCGCUCAAAGGAUUUGUCUAAACAAAAAGAAGUUUCAGACUUUGGAAUUCUUCUAUCGCGCACACCUUGAACAACUAAGACAGUCUUCCUUAUAUACUCCUUUAUGCCAUCAUACCCGUUGGCACUUACCAAAGGAAUUCCUCCAAUCUACCCGUUGAACGGAAUCAAUUAGGAAGAUUGUCCAAGCUAUAAAUGGAACGUGUUGAUAGCCCAUCAAUCAUGUUCGCCCAUACAAUCAGGAUCUCGGUUUCCAUAAGCAGAACCUUCCAAUAAUAUUUAGGCAAUCACCGGAUCUUCAAUUAUCGAAUCAAUCUUCGAUCAAUCAAAGGACUCCGUUUAUGUCUUCUCCAGCCAUGAGAUCUUCUCCAGUUGAUAAGGUUAAAUCCUCAACGAAACAUCCAGUUCUGGAUAACCUUUCUUCAACAAAUUAGAGACUGUCAAUGAGGAUAGACUUUGAGUCUUGAGUCUAGCUGUCCUAAGGUCUUUAGACUUUAAAUAGCAGAGUCUGCAAGCCUUCAGACUAGACUGAUAUAAACGAUUUGUCAACUUCAAAACACUUCAAGAAGAUUUCUCCAACAAUCUCCCCCUUUUUGAUGGUGACAAAACUUUCCUGCAGAUUUGGAUAUCUUUGACCUGCAAAACAUUUCUCAAACACAUAUACAUAUCUUAUAGAGGUAAAUGUCUUAACAGAAUAACACUAGAAUCUGCAACCACAGAAAAUAGGUUAGUCCAGUAUAUGAUGAAGCCAUCCAUAAGAUAUCAAUAUUAGUUAAUAGAAGCAGUCAAGUCCAAGUCUAGUUUACUUCUCAUCCAAACACAAACCAAAGUCAAAUAGAUUCAAACCACAAAACAAUCCAACAAAAACAAUUAAAAGUUGAAUGAAAGGUUUUUAAUCAAAUCUUGCAUCUCUCCCCCUUUUUGUCAUCAUUAAAAAGGAUGAGAUGAAGUUAAGAAUGCUUGGGAACGCGGACAAGCUGGAAAUCUUCCAUAGACUGAACAAUGCCUUCCAACCUUUUAAAGUCUUCCUUUAGCUGUGCAAUCUCCUCACUCUUGGCAUUGGCCUGAUUCUGAACAGAGAGGGCUUGCAUUUUAUCAUUCAAUAAACAGGAAGAAGCUUGACCUUCAUUCUUCAAGCUUUGAACUUCGCAUCCCAAGGCAUAAAUCUGACCUCGCAUCUCCAAAAGAAUAUCCAUGAUUCUGCGAAAAUCUGCUCCAUUAUCAGUUUGAGUACUUGCUUCGGCUCGAUCUGAUGGAGUAAAUGCAGAUGAUGGUAGAUCAGCAUAAUCUUGCAGGUUUGGCGAUGAAACUUCAUGACCUUCUUCUGGAAAUUGAGAUGCAUAAACAUCCUCUGGAUCUGCUGGUGAGCGACUGAUUCCUUCACUUGCAUCAGGACAUGAAGACUUCACUCCUUUCUCCUGAUCUCCCCCUGUUUCCAUGCCUACAGGUGGAGAAGAGUGUUCUUCAGGUUCUCCUUCUUCUCUUCUUUCUUCUUCAGGUCUUUCCUCCUCUGUUUCUUUUUCAGCUUCUAUUUCUUCUUCUUCCUUCUCCUCUGCUUCUUUCGUCAUUUGCUCCGAUUCUUUCUGUGGAACAAGACGACUUAAAUUCUUCAAAGCCAAUGCAGAGAUGGUGAUGUCUUCCUCAUCAUCUUCAUCCUCAACAAGGAGAGCUCUUCUUCUCUUGGAUGGAGCAACCAUGGGCUCCUUCCCUUUUCUUUUAGCUGCAGAAGAUAUUUGAUGAGAUUUUGCAGGAGUCUUCUCCUUGAAUUUCUCCAACUCCUUGCUCAGUUCUUUCAGACGCAUUUUGGUCACCAUUUUCAGACCUACCACCAUAUGAUCGCAUGGUCGAACACAAAAGAUUUGUAGAGGCUGAAUAUUCAGAUGUCUGAAUAACUUCGUAACAAGGCUUGGGUAAGGGAGUUGACCUCCGUCCUUCAUCAUUGCUCUAUACAUGUGAAACAUCACAGUGUGAGGGAGAGAAAACCUUUUUCCAAAGAGAAUGGCAUACAUCAACUUGGCCUCUGAACUUGAAACAUCAGUCUUGGAAGUCGAUUUCGGUCGGAUGCAAUUAAUCACAAUCUUGUGAAGCAAGAUGUUGAAUGCACCCAUCCUUAAGUAGGUGAUCUUUUCAUCUGUUCUCCUGUCCUUCACCAGUUCAAGAGUGGCCCGAGCAAUGGAAACUUUGAUUGGCUGAUAUCUUCCUCUUUCGACUUCUAACACAUCUGCCAGCAUAUUCAUAUCCACAACAUAAUCUUGGUUUUUAACGCUGAACGAGAAUCUAUUCGCAUCCAAAAAGCUUAGAUUUGAAUAGAAAUAUGCAGUUAAUUCAGCAUAGGCCUCUGUAGAGUCAGAGCAGAACUUUUCAAGUUGAAGAUAACUGAACUUUUCCCUCAAGUUCAUAUUCACAGCAUCCAGAAAAUCGAAAUCUACACUCCUAGGGUUUAUCACCCCACGCUUCAGCAAUUUCGAGUACAGAUCCUUUUGCUCCUUUGAUCUGAACAAAUCUCCCCUUUUUCCUUGGUUAUCAACCGCAACACCCAUUUUCGGUUGGAAUUGACUGUACAAUUUAUCAUCAUCAUUCCCAUCUACAGGAUUCGGCCCCCAGUCACGAGGAUCACUUGGGAUAUUUGCAAGGGUUUCCUCAGCCACCCCUUUUCGAGCAAUUCCCAAACUUUCCAUUUUUUUCAGAAAGAUAUAUUCGUUCCCAUGUCCUUUGUCUUUAAGAAAAUCAUCAAUGUAGUUCAAAGGAGUACGAAUUCCUUUUAGGGCACGAUAUAACUGGUAAAUAUAAGUGGGCUUUUGAACUCUUACAGGGUCUGCAUCCUCGAUGAUUUCUUCCUGUUGUUGAUGAUCAACGCCUUGAGGACUAGAUGGAGGAGAAUGACACUGUUGAGAAUGUUGUGGGCUCGCUUGCUGAUCUGGAGUCACUUCAUCUUCAGUAAGAUCGAAGUGCGUAGGCCCCUCACUCAUCCGCCGUGGUCCCCUGCUUGCAAUUCUCGAAGACUUUCUUGAAGAUGACAUCUUAGUUUUUGGAAGAUUCCUUGCUUGACUUUCCCAGGAAAGAUGACAACUUUUUAAGGAUUAAACGAAGAAGACAAACGGGAAUGGAGGAUCGAUGCUUUCUAGGGUUUUUGAGAGAAAAGUGAAGAGGAAUCGAUAGUUCACGAUCGGUUAAGAAGAGGGAUAAACGAACCAUCAUAAAGGAAAUAAAAAUAUGCCUUUUCAAAAUAACUGUCUUUUUCCGCAAAAAUAGCCAUUUCAAAAAUAACUUCCCUUUUGAAAAUGAAACGAUGCAAUAUUUACUUCAAUUAAAUAUAGCAACAAUUUAAACACAGUCUGACAAUCGUACCUUUUCAAGAUGAGAUUCAAGAGAGAAAGACUUACAGUCUGACGGACGUACCAAGACUGUCUUUCAGAUAAAGUCUUGUAAGUCUGAGUCUGAAAGUCUUUAGACUUUGAUAUCCUCAUACCUCAAAAUGUUGAGUCUCGAGCGUAUAGACUCAAAUUGAUUUUUCUCCAAAGGCUUUGUGAAUAUAUCCGCCAGUUGAUUCUUUGAGUCAACAAAUUGAAUUGAAACAUCUCCAUUUUGAACAUGGUCUCUUAUAAAAUGAUGUCGAAUCUCUAUAUGCUUUGCUCUUGAGUGGAGAAUUGGAUUUUUGGUGAGGUUGAUAGCGCUGGUGUUGUCGCAAUUAAUUUCCGUGCAUGAGUCUUCAAUUUCAAAGUCUCUUAGCUGUUGUUUUAUCCAUAGAAUUUGCGAAUAGCAGCUUCCCAGAGCUACAUACUCUGCUUCUGUUGUUGAAAGAGACACAGUGCUUUGUUUCCUUGAAAACCAAGACACUGUCCUGCUUCCAAGCAACUGGCAAGUUCCCGAAGUGCUCUUUCUAUCAACUCUGCAAUCGGCCAGAUCUGCAUCUGAAUAUCCCAUAAGAUUAAAGUCUCCCUUCUUAGGAUACCAAAGACCGAUGCUUGAUGAUGAAGCAACGUAUUUAAUGAUGCGUUUCGCAGCACUGAGAUGGGAUUCUCUAGGAUCUGAUUGAAACCUAGCAUAGAUGCAAACACUCAACAAGAUGUCAGGUCUAGAAGCAGUAAGAUAAAGGAGUGAACCAAUGAUGCUUCUGUACAGCUUUUGAUCAACUUUCUUCCCUUCUUCAUCUUUGUCUAUCUUCAAAGAACUUGACAUCGGUAUGUCGGUCUUUUUGCACUUUUCUAAUCCAAAUCUUUUGACAAGAUCAUUAACAUAUUUUUCUUGAUAAAUAAAGGUUCAUUCCUUCAAUUGUUUUACUUGAAGACCAAGAAAGAAUGUUAACUCUCCCAUCAUACUCAUUUCAAAUUCAUCCUGCAUAGACUUAGAAAAUUUCUUGCACAUAUUUUCAUUAGAAGAUCCGAAUAUAAUGUCGUCCACAUAUAUUUGAACAAGUAAGAAACUUUUGUUCUCCUUUUUGAUAAAUAAAGUAGUAUCCACUUUACCUUUGACAAAACCAUUUUGUAUUAAAAACUUACUUAAUCUGUCGUACCAAGCUCGAGGUGCUUGCUUUAAACCAUACAGAGCCUUCUUCAGUCUGAAGACUGAGUCUGGCUUCUUUGGGUCUUCAAACCCUGGUGGUUGUUCCACAUAAACUUCCUCUUGGAUGACUCCAUUUAGGAAGGCGCUUUUGACGUCCAUUUGGAAUAACCUGAAAUUCUUAUAACAAGCAAACGCAAGUAAUAGUCGAAUAGCUUCUAACCUUGCUACUGGAGCAUAAGUCUCAUCAUAGUCUAUUCCUUCUUCUUUCAUAUAUCCCUUGGCCACGAGUCUUGCUUUGUUUCGUAUGACUUUUCCUUUCUCAUUCAUCUUGUUUCUGAACACCCAUUUAGCUCCAAUAACAGUUUUACCUUUUGGUUUGGAUGUCAAUUUCCAGACAUCAUUAAUGCUAAACUGUCUGAGCUCUUCUUGCAUAGCUUCAAUCCAGCUUUCAUUAGAUAAAGCUUCUUCUAUGCUUUUUGGUUCAAUUUUAGAAACGAGAGCCACAACACUAGACUUUUCUCGCCUUUUGGAUCUAGUGCGAAUUCCUUCAUUCAUUUCGCCGAUUAUAAGAUCUUUGGGAUGACUGGACUUAUGCUUCCAGUUACUCGUUGAUCUGUCUGGUUGAUGAUUUCUUUCUUUGUUUGGAUCUUCACGAACAUCUUGAAGCUGGUUUUCCAGAGUCUGAGAUGCUUCUUGAGAUGUAAGCUUUGGAAGAUCUGGAGCAGGUUCAGACUCUUCUUGAUGAGUCUGACUUGAUUCAUCUUGUGUUGAGUCUUGGAAUUUGACAUUCAUUGACUCCUCCAUAAACUGGCUCUUCUUGUUAUAGACUCUGAAGGCUUUGCUUGAUGUAGAAUAUCCAAGGAAGAUACCUUCAUCUGAUCUUUCUUCAAACUUACCAACUUGAUCUUUUGCAUUUUUCAAUAUAAAACAUUUGCAACCGUAUACAUGAAAGUAUGAAACAAUAGGCUUCUUAUCUUUGAACAAUUCGUAAGGGGUUUUCUCUAGAAUAGGUCUUAAGAAGAUUCUAUUGAUGAUAUAACAUGCUGUUGAAACAGCUUCAGCCCAAAAUCGUGAAGAAAUCUUGCUUUCAAAUAAAAGAGUUCUAGCCAUUUCCUGAAGAGAUCUGUUCUUUCUUUCCACAACUCCAUUUUGCUGAGGAGUAUAUGGAGAGGAGAACACAUGAUUAAAGCCAGAUUCAUCACAAAAUUUUGUAAAAUCUUGAUUUUCAAAUUCACUUCCAUGAUAUGUUCUUAUACUUGAGAUAACACAUCCUUUUUUCAUUUUGAACCUUUUUAGCAAACUUUUCAAAAUACGAGAAGGUUUCAGACUUACUUGCAAGGAAAUAUACCCAAGUAAAACGGGAGUAAUCGUCCACAAUUACUAGGCAAUAUUUCUUACCUCCAAUACUCUGUGUUCUGGUUGGUCCGAAGAGAUCCAUAUGCAGCAACUGUAGUACAUGAUUAGUAGAGACAUGAUUUAUUGGCUUGAAUGAAUUUCUUAUCUGCUUUCCCAGAAUACAUGGAGUGCAUGGAUCAGUCUUUUGAUAAGGUAAUUUGGGUAGUCCUUGAACAAGCUGCUUUGAUGAGAUUUUGGCUAAUUGCUUCAUGUUAACAUGACCAAGCUUUCUGUGCCAUAAGCUUGCUUCGUCUUGAAUUGAGAUAAAACAUUGCGAUUCAUUUGGUUUCACAUCCAGAAGAUAAAUGUUUCCAUGUCUACGACCCAUGAAAGACUGAGUAGAGUCUUUACUGAUUCCAGAACAUAUUCCUUCUUGAAAAAAGAUCUUGAAACCAGUAUCACACAAUUGACUAAUGCUGAGAAGAUUGUAAUUGAGUCCUUCCACUAAGGAAACAUUACUUAUUGUGAGAUUUCCAAUUUUCACAGUUCCAAAUCCCACAAUACUCCCUUUGUUGUUUCCUCCAAAUGAAACUUUUCCACCAUUUACUUGAGCAAUCUUUAUAAAACAAUUUGAGUCUCCUGUCAUGUGUCUUGAGCAUCCACUGUCAAGAUACCACUUUACCUUUUUCUUGACGGUGACCUGCAUUUAAAAAAGAGUCUCAAGCUUUCUUUGGUACCCAAACUUUCUUGGGUCCUUUUGUGUUAGUAACAUAAGCAGUAUUAGCCCAUAUUCUCUUAACAGGUUUCCAAACCAUAGGACACUCUUUUUCAAGGUGAUCCGGACUGUUGCAUUUUGAACAUUUUAGAGCAUUUCUUCCUACAGAUUUUACAAAAACUUUCUUGAAGUGAUUUUUGUAAACCUCUCUCGAGAGUCUUUUCUUAAUUCUUUCUUUUACUUUAGGAAAAUCAAUCAGGGGAAUUGUUUCUUCUGUCAUACCUAAACCGGACUUAUUGAAGUAAGGUCUUUGAGCUGAAAGAAUUUUCUCAAGUUUUUCGGACCCUAUUGAAAAUUUCUUUGAGAUAUUUGAUAAGUCUGUUUUUAAAAAAGCAUUUUCUUUUAAAAGAUCAUCUUCAUUUUCUUUAAGAGUGGAAACAGUCAAGUCAAGACUUUUAACUCUUUCUACUAAAACAUUUUCCUUUUGUUUUAGAGCUGAGUUUUCCUUUUUCAGUUCGGAAAUUCUUUUGAGAGAAGUCUUAAGACUAAAACAUAAUUCAUCAAUAUAUUUAGAAACUUUGACAGGAAUUUUAAUAUCACUUGCCUCAAAUUUACUGUCUGAGUUUGAUCCAGAGUCUGAGUCUGAUUGUGCCAUCAGACAUAGAUUGGCAUAUUCAUUAUCACUUUUUUCACACUCUGUGUCACUCCAUGUUUUGGCUUUGAGAGCUUUUCGAAAUCUUUCAGCUUUUCCUUUCUUCUUUUUCAGAAGAGGACAGUUGGGUCUGAUGUGUCCCUUUUUCUUACAUUCAAAGCAGACUAUGUCUUUGUUUGGUUCCUCAUCAUCAACAGACUUGGUCUGCUGUCUUUGAAAGCUUUGUUUCUUUGAAUUGAACCUUCUUCCUUUUCUAUUCAGUUUUCUGAAUCUUCUUAUCAUGAGAGCAAGCUCCUCAUCGUCCAUAUCUUCUUCAGAAUCUGUAUCAUCAGAAUCAUUAUUUGAUUUUAAUGCAAUGGAUUUCUUACCUUUUGGAUCUUCAUCUUCAUUGAUCCAUUCCACUUCAUAAGACUGAAGAGUUCCAAUUAGCUCGUCGACAGAUAGUGGCAUAAUUCUUUGCGUCUCUCUUAUCGAAGUCUUUAUGUGAUUCUAAUCCCUGGAGAGUCCACGCAGUAGCUUGUUUACCUUCAUGGGAUCAGAAGUUGGUUGACCUUGAUUUUCAAGACCAUUCACAAUAUCUGUAAAACGACUAAACAUGUCAGAUAUAGAUUCUCCUGGUUUCAUUCUGAAGGCUUCGUAUUGACCAAGAAGAAUGUUGAUUAUAGUUUCCUUCACUCGAUCUGUUCCUUCAUAAGUGAUAUGCAAUCUAUCCCAAACUUCUUUUGUUGUACCACAAGAAGAUAUUCUAUUAUAUUCAGUUGGUGAUAAAGCACAAUAUAAGGAGUAAAUUGCUUUUGCAUCGAGUGCUUGUCUUUUGUUUAUUUCUUCCUGAGACAUUCCGCUGGUUUCAUCAGUUUCUUUUCCUCUUUCAGAUACUGAUGCAGUGGUAGGAGUAAUUCCUUUUUCUACAACGUCCCAUUCCAGAGGAUCCUUUGAUCGAAGGAAAGCUUUCAUCUUGUUCUUCCAGAUGUUGUAAUCCUUUCCAUCAAAGUAGGGUGGUCUGGUAUUGCUUUGCCCUUCCAUCAACCCUGGUGCUAGCAUACUAGCCAUGGAUCUUUUACUACGAAGUAAAACACUUCAAAUAAAGUAAGUACACAGGCUCUGAUACCAAUUGAUAUUGCUAGUAUGAGUACCUAGAGGGGGGUGAAUAGGUAUAUAAAGAGUUUUUCUCAAGCAAUUGCACAAUACUAGACAGUUGGAUGAAACGAUAAUCAAAGUAAGACUGAGAGAAGAGAAAAUUUAACACGCGGUUUAUAGUGGUUCGGCUUAUAUCAAGCCUACGUCCACUCUUCUUCACUGACAGCCUAUUGGCUAGAUUCCACUAUGAACAAGAGAGAGGUUACAGCACAGCUUUGCCUUGAUUCCACAGUGUAGAUGUUCUACUACACCUCCUCAAGAUUUCUCACAAAUAUAGACUCUCUCUUUCGUAUACAAGUAUUCGCUCAAAGGAUUUGUCUAAACAAAAAGAAGCUUCAGACUUUGGAAUUAUUCUAUCGCGCACACCUUGAACAACUAAGACAGUCUUCCUUAUAUACUCCUUUAUGCCAUUAUACCCGUUGGCACUUACCAAAGGAAUUCCUCAAAUCUACCCGUUGGACGGAAUCAAUUAGGAAGAUUGUCCAAGCUAUAAAUGGAACGUGUUGAUAGCCCAUCAAUCAUGUUCGCCCAUACAAUCAGGAUCUCGGUUUCCAUAAGCAGAACCUUCCAAUAAUAUUUAGGCAAUCACCGGAUCUUCAAUUAUCGAAUCAAUCUUCGAUCAAUCAAAGGACUCCGUUUAUGUCUUCUCCAGCCAUGAGAUCUUCUCCAGUUGAUAAGGUUAAAUCCUCAACGAAACAUCCAGUUCUGGAUAACCUUUCUUCAACGGAUUAGAGACUGUCAAUGAGGAUAGACUUUGAGUCUUGAGUCUGGCUGUCCCAAGGUCUUCAGACUUUAAAUAGCAGAGUCUGCAAGCCUUCAGACUAGACUGAUAGAAACGAUUUGUCAACUUCAAAACACUUCAAGAAGAUUUCUCCAACACAAUCCUUGUAGCAACCUCUGCAACUUGUGCAGUUGCUCGUCUUCUCACCUAAGAAACACAUAACAAAUGUAAAUUUUAGCCCAUAAAAAGGCCAAACACAGUGAUGUACAACUUACAGGAUAUUUUUUUCUUGUUUGCUCAACGGUGGACUCAGUUGUUAUUGUUGCUGUCUUACCAAUUCUAGUCCUUAUCCCUGCACUUGAGCCUACAACAUGGCCUUUUUCUGGCCCUUUAGUAGGCCUUACAACAAUGUGCUGUAUUAGGAUUAUGACCAACUACAACGAAUAAUUACACAUCUCAUUUUCAUAGUGGAAACACAUGGAGAAAACUUCUCAAAUUACAAGUGCAUGACAGAGGAAAAGCACAAGAGAAGCUAGUACACAUGGUCAACCAUCAAACUCUAUCGAAUAAGAACUGUAAAGUUACUGAGAUAAAGAGGAUACUUACCUUACAGUAUGGCUUUCUGUUGCCCUUUAGUAGACAUUACAGCAGGGCCUUCUGUUCUCCCUUCAAUAAGCCCAACAAGAAACUCUUUGUAAGUCAUGUCCCUGGCAUUGAAUCAACCAUUACAUCUUGCUAUUGAUACUGCUUUUUCAGCUCACAACCUUUCUUAUCGUGCCCUUCCUUGCGGCAAUAGGAGCAUUUCAUAUUUGAUCUAGUCCUACUCAUCCUUUGACUUGAUGCCUCUUCCUAUUGCAUUCUUCGUCUCUUUUUUGGCCUUCAUAUUUGCUUCUUCAGCGGUAAAGGUAGAGGGCUUUAAUGAUUUGUUGGCUCCCAAAAUUUGCUGCUUCUGAUAGGCUACAUCAUGAAUUGGUAUGAAGCAAGGUAUGAGCUUUUUUUGUACCAAUCAUCUAGGUAAUCAUCUAGGUUUUCUUGCUUCAUCUGAAUAGCACAAAUGGCAUGAGCACAGGGAAUUCCAUUCAGUUGCCAAGCUCGGCAUGAACACUUUCUUCUAUCCAAGUUGACAACAUACUUAUCAUGAUUUGGAAUAAUCUCAUACCCAUUAUCUUCAUUCCAAACUGGAUGGCAGAACCUACUAACAGCAAUAUUUGCAUCUAAUCUCUUCACAAUCCUAGGGCCACAGUCUCUACUCCAUUUUGUAGCAUCAUCUCUUUGCCUAUGCAGUCUAGUCAUAACCAUAACUCGAAUAUCAUCAAGCAUGCUGAUGAUUGGUUUGCACCUAGCCUCUAAAAUUCUACCAUUGAAAGCUUCAUUGAGGUUGUUAUCAAUGUUAUCGCAUUUGAACUCUUCGCUGAAGAAGACCCGACACCAGUGCUUAGCUUCUGUCUGGAAGAGUGUAUCAAAACCUUCAUUUGUCAGCUGUAACAAUCCUUGUUUCGCUAAUUUGAAAUCAACCAUAUUCGUACUCUUUGCUAUCUGCCAGAACUGCUUCUACAACAUAUCUCCUUUGAAGUUCCUUGACCAGUUUGCAUAUAUGUGCCUCGUGCACAUUCUAUGCUCAGCAUGUGGCAUCAACUCAGCCAAUGCAGGAAUAAGUCCAUACAAAAAUUCAAACCAAUAAAUACAAGUCAAGAAAAAUAUGCAAGUGAUUAAUAUAUAAAUGAGUGAUUAUUGACAUGAAAUUACCUUCUAUUGGUUGCUCAUGAAUGCCCAUCCUCCCCCAUCGGUUAUCACAAGGUCAGUCAUCAAAUUUUUUAGGAACCAUGACCAAAUAUCCUUGUUCUCUAUCUUUACCACCGCCCAAGUUAUCGGGAACAUUUAAUUAUUGGCAUCUCUCCCCACAGCAACCAACAACUCCCCCUUGCAUAAACCCUUUAGAAAGCAUCCAUCCAAUCCUAUAACUCUUCUACAACCAACCAAGAAGCCCCGUUUGCAUGCAUCAAAACAGACAUAAAAUCUAUCAAAUUUAGGCCAAAGAUCAGGGAGUGGCCUCUUCACAACCUCUACAUAUACCCUACUGGAUGGGUUUUGAAACAUGUAUUCACCAGCAUAAUUCCAUACCUGUGCAUAUUCUUCUUUAUACCCACCCAUCAAUAUUUUCAUCACCCUUAUCUUAGCUCUCUUACAUUGAUUCCUCGACACAUUAACCUCCACUUGCUCCUUCACUAAUUGUUGAAAUUGAGAACUCUUGAUCUCGGGCAUUGCUUUGAUAGUAUUAAAAAAAUUCUUUGAUAACCACACACUUGUUACCCUUUUAUUAUUAAAGAUAAUUGGACAAGUAUGCUCCUCCUGAAAGGACCUAAGCUAGAAUGACCUAUUCUUACUAAGCGCAGCAUAGAGCUUCCAUGAACAAUUAGGUUGUGAGCACUUAGCUCUCACAAAUUCCUUCGUGUUUCUAAUAAAUUUAACGCUCCUCUGUUCACCAAUUGAGUUCUUCACAACAGCUUCCUUGAACUGUUUGGCAUUGUCAAAUCUCAUGCCCACCGACAAAACAGGUUUAUCAACAGUUGAAUCAUAGAAAGGAUACUUACUUUUUCUUCGAGGAGCAGGUUCUUCAUCAUCAUUGUCAAGCUCAUUUUCCGAACUAGUAACUUCAUCGCCACAGCUUUCUUCAUCUUCACUUCUAUUACCCUCAGCUUGAUCUCCAUCCCUAUUUACUGGCUCGGACCUUUUUGCUAAAGCUACAAGUUUUUUUUUCUCAGAAAUUCCCUUUGCUUUUGUCUUGACUGUACGAGUUCAUCAUCAUCUUCGUCACUUGGAAAAUUUACUAAAGCCAAACAUUCAUCUUCCGAUUCAUUAGAUAAAGCAAUUUCCCAUUCUAAUCCAAUGAAGUCUUCAUCGCCCACAUCUUCACCCAAAUCUUCACCCAAAAUUUCAGGACAUCUCCCUCUUUGUUCAUCUCUAUCAAUAUGACUUAUCUCCCUCUCAUUUUGCCCUUCAUCUAACCUAAACUUAUCCCCGACUUGAUUACUCGUUUGAACAAGAUCCCUCACUUCUCCUCCUUCAGUGGUCGUCUGCUCAUCCACAUCCUCAUCCUCAUCCUCACUAUAAUACUCAACAUAUACCUUAACUUCUUCAUUGUGAAGAUAAUGGUAAAUGAUAUCCUUAAUACCAUUAUCGUUGUUAAAAAAUCUUAACCCAUCCUUCAAUUCCUUCCCAGGAACACAGUAAUGUAGUUUUUGCACUUUGCAUCGUAAAAAAUACACCAAAUCUCUCAGAAAAUCAAUAUAUGAUGGCUUCCAAACAUUGACAUAAAUAGUACCUUAAUUUCCACUAUUUUAUUAUCAAUCUUCAGUGCCAAUAACAAACUCUCCACCAUAGUAAACAAUGACGCUUACCUGAUUCGUGUCCAUGUCGAUGCUGCACCCAAUGAAAAAAAAAAGAGUCAUUGUCGUUUUGUUGGAACCACAUGACAGAAUCGACAACUUCACAUGUAGGUCCUUAUCGUUUUGUUGUCAAGGAACAAAUGCGACUAAAAUCUCCCCAAUUCGGUGGAUUUACAGAAAUAAAAGAAACCGAAUUAAAUAAACAAAGUGAGGUCCCCACCACUCAUUUUUCAAUUCAAUCACAUUCACAUUCGGUCCCCCACAAAAGCAGUCCAAUUAAUUAAAUAAAAAAAUUCGGUCCACCACUGUUUCCCUCCGAGUCAAGCCUCUCCGCACCAUUUUUUCUGUUCGGUCCUCACAAUAGAAAACGAACAAACGAUGGAAGAAUCAAUUUUUCUAUUCCGUCCCCAUAAAAGUGACAUCCCCACCACUUUCCCCACUACUUUCCGCUUGAGCCAAGCCCUCAAUUUGCCCUCCGUGCCCUAAUUUGCCCGUCGGAACCCUAAUUUUUUCGCAAAAUUGAUCCACGUAGAGAACAUGACAAACUUGAACGAUCGUGAACAAUGGCGCAACUACAACGGUGGCCAAGCGAUAGUGGGCGAGCGACAGCAGGCGAGCGAACGACGGUGGGUGAACGACAGUGGGUGAGCGAGCUCCGGCCAGCGUCGAGGAGAAUAAUAUACGAACCCUAUUUUACUCCCUCUUCAGCAACAUCGUUUUUUGCUAUGGAGCAACGCGGCGUCGUUUCUUAUGUGAAUCCACGGUGGAUGGCAAGAAACAACGUUGUUUCUUACAAAGAAAGGAAAACGGCGUCGUUUUAUGCUAUCCACCGUGGACAAUCUUAAGCCACAUCGUUUUUUUUUUAAAUAUAAAAGCCACGUAUUUAUUUUGGCCGAAAUUUCUCGCCAGUGGCACCAAAGUGAUCGUUUUUUCUCCGAUUUGGCACUUAAGUGAUUUGACGGAAACUUUUGACACCAAAGUGAGCGCCGUACACAACUUAUGGCACCAUUAGUGUACUUUUCCCCAAGGUUAAGGCUUGCCACACUGAAUGUAACUUCGCUUUGGGACCCAACCAACGCUAGAACGCCACCCGUCUUCAAAAGAGACAUGUAAGGAUCAAAUAGGUGAUCAGCAGAUGCCGUGUCGAUUAUAAAGUCCAGGGACUUAGCCAUGGCCUGCAUGUAUUGGAAUCAUCAGAUCACGGUAGCACUUGACCUUAAUGGAUCUAAAGUAUUGAUAAUUUUAAAUCUUCCCGCCUGCCUUCGUCUAUUCUUGGUCAGAUGAGAUAACGAAGUGGUCAGCACCAAGCAAGCUCAGUGCUUCCUCCUUUUUAGAAAUGCUUGUACUAAACAUAGCGAAUUUCAGUCCAUAAGCCUUCCCAAGCUUAAUUGCCAUGUGACUGAGCCCACCGAGUCCAAUUACACCAAGAGACUUACCCGGUUGGUUCAUCUUGUGACGCACCAUUUGAGUGUAUAUUGUGAUUCCAGCACAAGGCAAUGGUGCUGCUAAAGCCAACGGGAAGUUUUCUGGAAUCCUGAAGCAGUACCUGUUAAUGAAGCACCACAAUUAAGUUUCCAAAUCACACCAAAGGAGGAAGGGAUUUCCCAAUAGAAUCAGCAUCCCAUCUUUUUUGUACAACGGGAUUCAAAUCACAUUUUACUUGCUUAGAGCACAAUUCAACAUCAUGUGGUUUCUGUGAUUCUUUUUCUGACCACAAAUUGCUUAAGACGAAAACUUCUUGCUGUAGCGACGAAAGUAAAGCCACUGCAGCAUACAGGAGGCCAUACUUGAUCAAAAUUGAGAAAAGAGGCUUGCUCUAACAGAGUACACUGGAAGCAUAUUGCAUAUGCAUGGCAGAUCAUGUAAUUUCUCUAUUCCCCUCAAUCAUGUCUCUAAGGGACACGAUAUUCCCGUGACUGUCGAAUACAAGAAUCCGUGAAAGCACGUACAUUUUAUUACCCAUUUGAUCUAACACUUACCAUCUAACUCUUGGAAACAAUCUAAAAAAAGGGAGGAAGAGGAGAUAGAAGGCAAGAAUUGAGCAAUUUCCAUCUGUUUCUCUCUUUUAAUUAAGAGUUAAUAUCCUAAAAAACUCCAAAUUGGUACACAUGUGACAAAUUUACCCCGAUGGACUAUUAAAAACCCUAAAAUUAUAUAUUUAUGACAAAUUUACCCCAAACUAAUUUAUUCGACCACAAAAAAAAUGGUAAAUUUGUGACAAAUAUAUCCUCCACUAAAUUGAAUUAAUACCAUAGUAAACCGUGACAAACGGAGCGUAAAAUCUCAAAUUGAUAUACUAGUCAACUGUCACAUGUCAUUUAACUUAAUAAUUUGACAGUAAAAUUUAAUGAAAACUAAUAGAAGGUAAAUUUGUCACAAGUGUACCAGUUUAGAGUAAAUUUGUCAAAUAUAUAACAAUUUAGAGUUUUUUGUGGUAAAAAAAAAUAGUUUGGAGUAAAUUUGUCACAGGUAUAUCAGUUUGGGGUUUUUUAGGGUAUUAACCCUAUAAUUAAUUUAGUUUUAAAUUUAAUCUUAUUAAUUUUUCAUGAAAAAUUCAUAUGUUAAAUUUAUUGGCUCACAUGUCAUUGUCACUUGAUGUGUAUGAUAUAUAGAAUAGUCCAAGAAAUUUGACUUUAGAUACAUGGGAACCCGCGAAUGGUCAUACAUUGUCGAUUACACAUUCAACAUGAUGUAUUAGCUAAUCAUAGUCCUCUAACGGUUUAUAUUUGCUUAAUAUAUUUCAAGAAUAUUAAUUUGUUAGACUUGUCCGCUCACACGCCGCUGUCACUCGAUGUGUAUGAUAAGCAGAAUAGUCGAAGAGCUUUGACUUUAGAUACUUGGGAGUGUCUAUGCUUGUUUUAUGUCUAUUAUGCUUGCAAUGCUUCUUGUUUUGAGUGGACAGUACAAAUAUUUAAGUCCGUGUCAAUUUGAACAAUUUUCUUUAUUAUAGAGCAACAGUCUUUAAUCUAUUGUGUUCUUGACCACAAAAAACCAAAUAACAAAUAAGUAUAAAUUAUUGUAGGGUCCAACGACAAUCUUUAAUCUAUUGUGUUCUUGACCACAAAAAAUCAAAUAAUAAAUAAGUAUACAUUAUUAUAGGACCCACUCCUUUAAAAAUUUGUUGUUCACAAAAACUUAUUUAUUCUCAUAAUAACCCAAAGUUAUGCUAGCAAAAAUGCAAUUUAAUCCUAAAAUUUGUCACGAAAUGCAAUUGAGUCCUAAAAUUUUCAAAAAGUACAAUUAAUUAUAAAGAUUUAUCAAAAUUGGUCCAAUUUAAGUCAUUCCAUUCAUUGCAAUUUUUGAAAGUUUUAGAGCUCAAUUAUGCUUUCCUAACAAGUUUUAUGACUUAAUUAUAAUUUUUGAAAAUUUUAGAACUUAAUUGUAAUUUAUGAUAAGUUUUAGGAUUUCUAGUACACUUAUCUUUUUUUUUUGUUUUUCACCUCAUUAAUCUUUUUUGCAACAAUGAGCUUGACAUAUCUCUGUUUUGAGGAUUUCAGUGGCUAGGGGAAACACAGGGAUGUCCUCUAAUGAAUCAACAAUCUUCCUGCCAUGACAAUGCCGGAAGAGAGAUGAGUGUCUUACAUAGUUAACAAAAAUGUUCAUGUUAUAAUUGGUAAGCAUUCGCUUUCCCAACGUGCAUGAACAUUUCCGGCGAUGAAACAUUCGUGAGGAGCCAGUAAAGACAUCCUGUUAUUUAAACCGGCAAGAGGAUAUCGAGCUUGCUCUAUUGGCAAGUAUAUUGUUGUCAGAUAAGCCUAAUAAAUCCGAUAUUUUCAUACAAAAAAUCGUCAUCGAGGCCAACUUAAUCCAAAAUGCCAAUGGACAGGCUUGGGUAAGCUAGUGGAUAGGUAUGCCGCUUUAUCUUAUGUCGUGUUAUCUCACGAGAGAUGGUGCUGCGUUCUCUUUAGAAUGCACAUGACUUGGGAUAGGAAAACCUUAGGAUCCGACUAGGAGGAAGGAAAAAAGCAAUCUAUUGUCGGGCCAAUAUAAGAUCAUUUCAUGUCAAACUCCGCAGUCUUGAGGCCAUGGAAUCUACGACAUACUUGCUCAUUCACAAGGACUGAGCAAAUAAAUGAUAAAAUAAGAGCAAUGGUCGUCAUUGAUCGUCUGCCCUUUAACUGAUUGGAUUCUAAAUAUUUUAUUUUCAAUUGGGGUCUAAAUAUUUUAUUUGAUUCAAUUGACUUCUAAAGAUUUCCAAUUUUAGUCAAUCAAGUCCCUCAAAUAUUAUCCUCGGAAAGAGCCACAUGGCUGUGAUUUUCCUAGUGGCUAAGGAGAUGCUUGAGGAGAAAACCUGUAGGAGAGGCGAAGCCAUCCAAGCAGAACUCUCAAGAAGUCAAUUUUUCAGACAGUUUCUCAAUCAUCACAUAGAGAAGUACCAGGAUUUCAUUACCCAUUUCACUUGUUUCUGCUAUAAAACUCACGAGUAUCGAAGUAUAUCAGGCAUAGUUUAUUUGUACUCCAGCAGAGCAAUUAAGAAGGCAUAGAUGAUGCUCUCCUCUAGCUGAAAGCCCGAAACUCCCACUUUUCCUCUGUGUGAUCAGCCUUGCCAGCAACAAUUUCCAACUACCCAAAUUGAUGUUGAAAUUUAAUCAAAUAGACUCAGAGAAGAAAACAAACAAGAGAAUUGUUGCUGUAACUUUCGUUACUUUAUUCAUCAGAACAUAAGCCUAUUAAAUAGGCAGAACAUCCAAACCACUUAGCAAGACAAUAGCUAUAGAACAACAACAAAGACCCACUAACAUACCCCACUAACCAGAACAUAUGCAGAAACUAACUCCUAAAAACAAGCCACAUCCUAUUGACUAGGACUCCACUAUUACAUUAUUGAAGACACGUAAAAACUGAAAGUUAACUACUUCAACAAUUGAUGGUGUCACUUCAAGGAGUUCUCAAUGUCAAUCACGAAUCGAUACUUAACAUCUCUCUUGAUGAGCCUCUCCAGAGCUUCGUUGGCGUAAUCGAUCGGUAUCACUUCAAUGUUUGGGUAUAUCUUCUGCACCGCACACAAGUCUAUCAUUUCUUGGGUAUUCUUUGUUCCUCCCGUUACGCUACCCGUAACAGUUCUCAUAUCUGCCAAAAGUUCACCGCGAGCAACUUAAUUCACCUAUCAGGUAUGAAAUUUCAUUUAGUAAUCAGAUUUGAGAACAAAAACAUACUGAGGUUAAGGCUGGCUGGACUGAAUUUAACUUCGCUCGGGACGCCGACCAAUGCUAGAAUGCCACCCGUCUUCAAAAGAGACAUGUAAGGAUCAAAUGGGUGAUCACCGGCUGCCGUGUCGAUUAUAAAGUCCAGGGACUUAGCAAUGGCCUGCGUGCAUUGGAUUUAUCAGAUCACAACAGAAUUUGACCACCAUGGAUCUCAAUGUGGAUAAUUCUAGUUUUUCCUCUUUUUACCUUCAUCUGCUCCAGGUCAGAUGAGAUAAUGAAAUGGUCAGCCCCAAGCAGGCUCAGUGCUUCCUCCUUUUUAGAAAUGCUUGUACUUAACACUGUGACUUUCAGUCCAAAAGCCUUCCCAAACUUAACUGCCAUAUGACCGAGCCCACCAAGUCCAAUUACACCUAGAGACUUACCAGGUUGGUUCAUCUUGUGACGUAUCAUUGGAGUGUACACCGUGAUUCCAGCACAGAGCAAUGGCGCUGCUAGAUCCAUCGGGUAGUUUUCUGGAAUCCUGAAGCAAUACCUGUCAAUGAAGCACCACAAUUAAGUUUCCAAAUAACACCAAGACAGGAAGUGAUUUCCCAAUAGAAUCAGCAUCCUGUCUUUGUUGUCUAAAAGGAAUCAAAUCACAGAGCCAGAAAUCCUAUCUUCCACAUGCUUGGGAAUUUUACUUGCUUAGACCACAAUUCAGCAUCAUGUUGUUUCUGUGAUCCUUGUUCUGACCACAAAUUGCUCUAGACAAACAUUUCUUGCUGUAGCAACGUAAAUAAAGCAAUUGCAGCAUACUGGAGACCACACUCGAUUAAAAUUAAGAAAAGACACUUGCUCUAAGAAAGGAAACUAGUGGCAUAUCAUGUAUGCUUGACUGAACACGUAAUUUUGUAUUUCCUUCAAUCAAUUUCUCCAAAGGACUCAAGAUUCCUGCGGCUCUAUCAGAAACAAGAAUUAGUGAAAGCGCAUACAUUUAGCUACUCAUUUGAUCUGAUACUUAUGAUCUAACUCUAACAAUCUAAGGACAGCUUAUUCCAUUCUUGACAAUGGUUAUUCAAAAGAAAGAAUUUCUUUUCGCAUUUAAUAAAGCCAGUUCUCCAUUGAAUGGUUUGAAUGGUAAUUGGAUACAGAGGACUUAAAGACUCUCCAGAGUCGUUAUAGAAAGUAUCUUUAUCCCUUUCCACAAGAUGCAAUUAAUGCCUAAAAGCCAUUCCUCACAGUCCUAUGCAUUAUGCCACUUCUGGUCACAAUCAGAAUAAGAAGAAAAUUAGCAGAGAAGAAGACAUGACAUGAAAUCUUUUUUUGGCCACCAUGAUUUGGAAUUCUGUCACAGUGCAAAAUGCUGCCUAAUAACACUGUGUCAGUAAGCAAUUACCUUUCAUGGACGACAAUGUGACUAGAAUAUCCUCCCUUUGUCACUGUACCAUCUGCAUCAAUUCCAUCAAAAGUCAUAACCGACUUUUCACAUUGGACUUCUAGCCUGUCAUUGCAAUACUCGCACUCUCUGCAUGAAUUGACAUAAGUUCCCACCCCCACAUGAUCGCCAACUUUGAAGCGUUGGACACUGGAGCCAACCUGUUUCACAAUUCCAACUAUCUCGUGCCUGAAUCAAUCAAAAAAAAUUUUCGCAAAUUUUGUUCAGAGAAUUAUGAGGAUGGUGCUAAGAAAAAAGAUUUAACAUUUGAAUCCCGCUGCAUCCUACCCCGGCACCAGAGGAUACUUGGAGUGUCCCUGCACAUUCCUAGUCCAAGCCACAUCUGCGUAGCACACUCCACAGUGCGUGAUCUUAAUCGAGACGUCUUCGCUUCCCACGGCCCUAAAGAGAUGAUUCCCAAACAGGUGAGCAUAUAAUCCAGUGACUAAUCAGACUAGGGUGCCCUUUUUUUCCAUUUUCAAGAUCAACAAACUAAACUUGACCUACGAUUAUUGAGGAAACAAGAAACCAGAAAUGAGAAAAGGAAAAAUUCCAUGACUACAAGCAUAUUUGUCCAUACGGUAGAUACAACCUCAAAUGCUCAGAAAGGCAGCCAGUACAGGAUCCUCAUGUCUGCAGCCAGUACAGGAUCCUCAUGUCUGCCAUGAAAUUCUGAGUAACCCAUAACCAACAAUUCUCGACUCAGAAUUCAGCGCAUACACAACAAAAGAAAGAACGAAAAAAAAUGAAAUGGUCUGGACCGAAACUGUCUCUCGUGAACACUGUACUGAGACUCUCGCAUGAACACUUCGGUAGAAAUCGAAAAAGAAAAAAAAAAAAAAUGGCAAUACCUGCGGGUGAAUUUGUAGGGGGAGAGGAACCCAGAAGGGUCCCGGGCAGCCCAACCGAGGCAAUCCUCCUUCCCACCCUCCGAGCUCAUCUUCUGCACCUACACACCCGGCGAAGCAAUCACACAAACAGGUACGGUUAGAUUCAUCCAAAGAAGAAGAAGAAAGGGUGAGAACGCGAACGAGAGAGUGCCCAAGAUCAGAGACUCGACGGGUCAUCACACGGCGACGACUCGAGUCACAACGAGCUCGCCAUCACUCAUCAACUCACUCACUCACCCACCCCCACCUACCCAAGCACAACCCCACAGCAACUCAGAGAGAGAGAGAGAUGACUACGGAGAUGGAGAGAGGUUACGCGGUGGUGGAGUAUGCGGUAGCGCGAAGAGGGUGAUGAGCCGAGCAGAGUCGAGGACGGGAGGUUCAACGAAGACUUUUGCCCCCUCCUACUUUGCAGGAAAGCUACGAGUCGUCGUAUGGAUUUUAUGGCGGUGGCCCCUAGGCUCUAAAAGAAGGUUCGAGGAGCCUACUGCCUAGCCUUCUUUUGCUGUUGGUUUCAAUAUCUGCUGCUUUUCCGCCUUAGCCCAACCGACAUCGCCCUCAAAAGACAUCAAAGAUAAGGUAGUUGGAAGGAAACAUCAUCCGAAACUUAAAGAUGGGGUAGUUGGAAGGAAACAGUAUACGAAACUUUGGUUCAAUAGGUAACGUGAUUUUCUAAAUUUUUAAUUUACCCAAUAUGAUUUUUUAAAAUUUUGGUAUAGAUUCAACUUAGUCUUUAGAGUAUAUAUUGUCGCAAAUUUUAAAUUAAUAAAAUGACGACGUUGAAUAUUUUCAUAUGAUCAAAUGACAACAUUAAAUAUGUACUAAAAUUUUGAAUAAUAUUGAAUAUUUUCAUAUAAUUUUGAGAUUAUAUAGAAUAUGUAUCAAAGAUCAUUAACUAUAUAGUUCCGUUCAAUUUGCGGAAAAUAAUUUCCGAAAAACCGUUUUUCAGAUUUUUCGACAUUCAUUUCAUGAAAAAUGAAUUCAUUGGGAAAAAUGUUUCUUCUAAAUUAAGGGAAAAUGUUUUCCACUUUUAAAAAGUGAAAAACAUUUUCUUCACUCGAUCUCUCUUAUCUUACACCUCUAAAAAUCUCUACUUUAUCCUCACAUUUCUUUUUCUUCUUUUCUUUUUUUAAUUCAAAUUAUUUUUAAUUUCCUUUUUAUUUUAUUUUUAAUUUUUCUUUAUUUUUCUUUUUCUUUUCUUUGUUUCCCAUCUUUUCUUUCUUGGCUAGUUGUCAGUCAUUACCAAGCGAAUCUCGAGUUCGUCAAUCUUAAGCUCACACUCUGUACUCUUACUUAUCAUUUUCUUUAUUUACUCUAUCCUGCAGUUGUAUAUUGCUCAAACAAAUGGCUCUACAUGCUUUGCUUCUUUUUUCUUUUGUUUAUUAGAACACAAAAGACGCAUGAGAGAACAGGCCACUCAACUGGAAGAUUCUCAUUAGGGCUGUACAUGCUUUGCUUCUUUUCUCUUUUACUUCUUUUUAAAAUCCAUACAGACAUUUUUUAGAGUAGAUGAGCGUUUGACAACAAUGAGGGAACAAAGAUAUGCUCGAAUUUAAAUGCAAGUUCAUAUUUGAUGGGUUUAUAGGUCGGUAAGUGAUGCAUGCCUAAGUGGUGAAGUCUUAGAAAAUAUUUUCCUUACCAAACACCGAAAAAUAAUUUUCGAAACAUUUUCAAGUUUUAGCUUAACACUAGAAAAUAUUGUAAUUUUCCUAGAAAAUGAUUUUUGGAAAAAUAUUUUCCGGAAAUGACCAAUUUUUCACGAAACGAACGGACCCUUAGUCUCGGGAGUUUCUAUGUUACAUAUGAUCUAGUCCUUCAACUUUUCUAUUUGUAUACACUCAAAUCUUUUGUCAUAUUCAGUUUUUAUGCAGUUAAGUUUUAUUUUGUUCAUUCAAAUCAUUCAAUGUUCUCGACUAGUGCAAUUGAGUGCUUCACUCACCCAUCAUAACACACAAUUCCAUUUUUCUUUUUCCAAGUUUGCUUUUCGCUCAUUUGGCACCACCUCAACAUUGUGCGAUAUUUUCUACCUCAAUGAUAAUACUAUGUUAUUGAUUACUAUGACACAUUCAGCAAGAGGAUUUACUGAACGAUUUAAUUGCACGAAUCAAGAAAGUUAGAAGACUUGAUUGAACAAAAUAUAAAGUUAAGAGGAUCAAAUUGUGCCGAUAUGGAAAUUUGGAUGACUAAAAUUGCAUCAAACCCUUUUAUAGGGAGAUGGGUCAGCCACAAUAACAUAUUCUUUUUCAGUGACUGGCUUUGACACAACCAAUGCAACAUUAGUACGAAAAUGAAAGAUGAGUGGACAAAAGAAGGGCAACAGAUGUUAAACGAAACCUGUUUCCCAAAAGCACCAUGCAGAAACUUCCUUUCAUUGGAAAAUUUUUCUUGAAACGGAACUAAAGAUUACUGGCUUCGACAUAACCGAUGAACAUACCAAGAGCUGAGGCCUUAUCCAACAACAACGUGAAAAUGAAAAAUGAGUUGAAAAGAAUGGACAGCAGCUGUCAAAUUAAACAUUUUUUCCAUGUCUCGUUCAGAACUUGUCACUCCUUCAUUACAAUCUUGACCCUUUUGAAAUUGGAAGUGAAGGUUACUGGCUUCGACAUGACCAAUGUAUAACUUGUCGCUCAUGCAAUAUGGUAUAUAGAAAUGAAAGAUGAGUAGAAAAAGAAAUGGACGAUUGCUGUCAAAUUAAAACCUUUCCCAAGUCAACUUGUCGCUCCCCUUCCUUCCAUUAAAAUGCUUUUAUGGUGGAACUGAAGAUUACUGGCUUUGACACAACCAAUGUAAACCCUCCAAGAGGUGAGAGAACUUAUGCAAAAGUAUAAAAAUGAAAGACGAGUCAAAAAGAUGAGGACAAUAACCAAAUGCGUGCAACUCAAUUGCACUUUUUGAUAAGGAUAAACUGCACCUCUCCUCAUCAUUGAAAGAGAUAGGAUUAAACGCAGACGUGAUUGACAUAGAGAUUCUUACUAGAAAUUAAAUAAAAAUAAGUCUUUCUUGGUAACAGGAUGUUUGUUCUCGUGACCGUGUAGGUCUUUCUAGGUUCUCUGACGCGUGCCAUGAGGUCAUGGCAUGUUAUGCAACCAGAGAUAUCCAUUCCAUAUUUCUAUGGUAUCUAUCCAUCGUUACCUCCCGUGAACCUAAGAAGAACAAAACCAAUCCAUAAAGCUGGAGGAUCAAGAACAACCCGCCCUAAGUUAUUGAUGAACUGAGUUAACUGUUUGAAGCCUAAGUAGCGAAUCAUUUAAAGUUUAAGCUACUAAAAUGUCAGAUGCCAAACAGAAGGAAAAUCUACAGAGCCAACAUCUGCAUCGGAUCAACGAUGGCAUAUCAACAACUAAGGGAAAAAUCUGCUACUAAAUAUUUAUCUGAAACUAUAAGCGAGGAUCACGUUGCACUUGCAUAAGUCUGUUAACGCAGGUCAAUGGUCAUGUUCUGGCCAGCUAUGUAAGAAGUUUGAAAACUCUACACGGACAGGCACCAUUUGCAAGAAGACCUGUUCCCUCAAAUGCUCAUCUUUGUACUGAGCUGGAAAUGCUUUUAGCAGAUGACUGUGCCUCCAGAAACAAAUCGCAUGAAGUGGCCCACAAUUCUCUGGCAAGUCCAGUGUCGUACGAAACUAAAGAAGAGUUGAUAGUCCGGCCCUUCCCACCAAAGAAUACACACCAGAAAUUUCCUAUAUUUGCAAGACAGCGGCUAUUAGUAAGCACUGUUCCAACAUAUAAUAGCAGCCGCAUAAGAUUGAUACCACAGAUUAUCAGCAGAGAAGGGAAAAUCAAUUCUGGAAACACUCUGUCAUACCGUAGAAUCAACAUUAAUGGAUUUUACGUCCAAUGCUAGUACGACCUCAAUUGAGGAUAAAACGAGAGAGACUCAUUCAAGAUGGUUCAGAUAAGUGAAGCACCAGUACAGGAAUGCUUUACACCAGCCCCAUUUAGUGGGAAAAAAUCACUAUCACCCAUAUCUGCAGCUGUGGUUGCCUAUUGAGAUGAAACACAAGUGAUUUCAUUGCAGUCCCAUCUAGCAGUCCCAUCUAGCAUAUAGCAGAAAUUAAAGAUAACGAUUGCAGUCAGAAAAACACAUAAGAGAAUUGUUGCUGUAACUCUCGUUACUUUAUUCAUCAGAACAUAAGCCUAUUAAAUAGGCAGAACAUCCAAACCACUUAGCAAGAAAAUAGCUAUAGAACAACAACAACAAAGACCCACUAACACACCCCACUGACCAGAACAUGUGGAGAAACUAACUCCUAAAAACAAGCCAUUUCCUAUUGACUAGGACUCCACUAUUACAUUAUUGAAGACAUGUAAAAACUGAAAGUUAACUACUUCAACAAUUGAUGGUGUCACUUCAAGGAGUUCUCAAUGUCGAUCACGAAUCGAUACUUAACAUCUCUCUUGAUGAGCCUCUCUAGAGCUUCGUUGGCAUAAUCGAUCGGUAUCACUUCGAUAUUUGGGUAUAUCUUCUGCGCUGCACAUAGGUCUAUCAUUUCUUGGGUAUCCUUUGUUCCUCCCGUUAGGCUACCUGAAACAGUUCUCAUAUCUGCCAAAAGUUCACCACGAGCAACUUAGUUCACCUAUCAGGUAUAAAAUUUCAUUUAGUAAUCAGAUUUAAAACAAAAACAUACUGAGGUUAAGGCUGGCUGGACUGAAUUUAACUUCGCUUGAGCCGACCAAUGCUAGAAUGCCACCCGUCUUCAAAACAGACAUGUAAGGAUCAAACGGGUGAUUGCCGGAUGCCGUGUCAAUUAUAAAGUCCAGGGACUUAGCAAUGGCCUGCGUGCAUUGGAUUUAUCAGAUCACAACAGAAUUUGACCACCAUGGAUCUCAAUGUGGAUAAUUCUAGUUUUUCCUCUUUUUACCUUCAUCUGCUCUACGUCAGAUGAGAUAACGAAAUGGUCAGCCCCAAGCAGGCUCAGUGCUUCCUCCUUUUUAGAAAUGCUUGUACUAAACACUGUGACUUUCAGUCCAAAAGCCUUCCCAAACUUAACUGCCAUAUGACCGAGCCCGCCAAGUCCAAUUACACCUAGAGACUUACCAGGUUGGUUCAUCUUGUGACGUAUCAUUGGAGUGUACACCGUGAGUCCAGCACAGAGCAAUGGCGCUGCUAGAUCCAUCGGGUAGUUUUCUGGAAUCCUGAAGCAAUAC